UUUGAUGUUUUACAAACUGACUGAUAGUCGCAGUUUUAUUUUGCGUGCAUUAGGAGUUGUGAUGUUUGAUGCGCUUGGCAUGUAGUAGAAGAGCUGAUUAAACUUGUCCUUGAUGUGUACAACCUUGUGAUUUGCCGCUGACUUUGUUCACAUUACGGACUUCGGAGUGUUCAUUGCAAGUCUCUGUUCUGUUACUGCUGUAAUAGUAGCCCACCUGUGAAGGCAUUGUCUCCAACUGUCUUAGCGUUCGACUGCUUUAUUUUCAUGUUGAGAGAAUGGAGUUUAACUCGGAUGAUACUGCUUGCUGCAUAAUUGAUGUUCAUUUUCCAAACUGAAUUAGUGAGAUGGGUAUGAUUGCAAUUGAAUAAUUCUUGUUCUGUAUCAUGAGUUCAUAUCUAAAUAAACUGCGGCUUAUUAGUGCCACCGCAUUGCUGUCAACGUGCCAAGGAUGUUGCAAAAUUCCCCGCAUUUUUGUAAACUACUCCCUCUGUCCAAUAAUAUUAUCAGACGGAGGGAGUACCUAUUUGAACAUGGCAAGAAUAAUGAUAGUAUCGGAAGUUAAACUUAGUUUCAUUGCAUCCAUAGGCUGUGGAUGCUCUAAGGAGGCAUCAUCUUCUGUGCCAUCAGGCUGGUUGCAACCGCCUUUAACCAGGAAGCCUGUGUUUAAUUCUCUUUUCUUUACGGGCUGACUUCCUGAUCGAAGCAACAUCUUUCACCUCGCGGGGGAAAAGAUCUUGAAUCCAUAUGCCAUUCAUGGGAGAAGAACAAAGGAGGAUGUAGAUCAUACAGUGGCGGCCAAAGCGUUUCCUUUGGAUGAAGUGGUGUUCUCGGUGUUUGCUGUAUGCAUUGUAACAUAUGAUGUAUCCUGGGGAUAUAUAUAUAUAGAGAGAGAUCUAGAGAUGUAAUGGCCAUGUGUAGACCUAGCUGUAAAUUAUGCAGCCCUUAGGUACAAACCUGAGUGUCCUGGCUUGUUGUGCUCUCAACCACAUGUAGCCAUGAUACAACUGAUUUGUUUACGAGCAUUGGGAUGCCCUCGCAGAAGGAAAAAGUAAAACCCAAGAGUCAAGAAAAAAAGAAAAACUAAUGAUACUUCCUUAGAACCACACGACAAUCGUGGUUAGCCACUUAAACCUGAUAUCAACAAUAGAUGACGGUUCCAUAGAGCAUCUACAUCCCCUGGAGAUAAACCUCUAUAUAUCUCCUGUAGGAAAAUAAUACUAGCUCUACAUCACCCUUUUUAGUCUUCCCGACUCCAUUGAUAUCAUAUGAACCAACCUGUGGUUGGAUUGUUAGGAGAACAAUGGUAUCCACAGUCCACCAGAGUUGUCUUAAAGAAACAAAGUCCAUUGAUAUCAUUAUAAUAGUAAUAACCAAGUAACUAAAUUGAAGUAGUUAAGAAGAAAUUCAUAGAAUUUAUUCUCUUUGAGAGAAAGAAAGCUAGUUUAAGAUGAAAGGAAGCAAGGUAACUUUACGCGCCUUGAUUAGUACUACUAAACAUUGUUCAUGGCACGUUUUCCUGAUCUUGGCAUGCACUGCACAUAGCGUGAUCCUUUCCAUGCACUUGUUGAAACAGAAUUGCUUCUUUAGACAUCUUAUCUUUUACUCUUAUUUUGGGAAACCCUAGCCGCUGUCCCCUCUACCACACCUCCUCCCAUCCUCUCGUCUCGCAGCCGCCGGAGCUCGCUGGCGGGCAAAGCUCAGUCGGUGGCGGCGGGGCAUCCUCUUCUCUUCGUGCGGGGCCGGGCAGCGCGUGACACGUUCUUCGCGCGGGGGCGCGUCGCUACGCGAGGCACGGCGGUGCAGGCGGCUGAGCCUCGGUAUGGAGGGUUGCUUGGCAGUGGUGGUGGCGGCGGCUAGUGCGUGGUGGCGGUGGACCAGGCCAGAUCGGAUCUGGAGGGUUCCUGGCGGUGGGCGGCGCGUGGGUGGGCAGCGACUUAGUAGGGUCUCUUUGGCCAUGGCCACGAUAGCGUGCAGGCCGUUGUUGUAGGGGUUCCAUGGCUGCUGGUCAGAUCCGCCCAGAUCUGACCCUAGGCGCCGACAGGCGGCUCGGGGUGGUGGCCGCGGACUCCUGGUUGGAUGUGGCUGCUUGGAUGUGGGCUGCAACGGCGUGGUGGCAGUCCAUGGCAGUGGGUUGGGUCGUUCCAUGAUGGCGGCUGGACAUCUCCGGCGUCGGUCGUCGGGGAGCGGCUCUUGCGGUGGCGACCUUCUUCCUGCGUCGGCUCGUCCGUAGGCGGCCCGUGGAGGCCUUCGAUCCCUCUCCUUGUCGUCCUGGCGCUACUUUUGUCGAAGGGCUGACCCUCUCCCAGUUGCGAUCCAUCGCCCGUCUCGCGCCCAGUGCUGCAGCACCGAGCUCGUCUUUCGCCUAGCAGCAGGACCAAUCUCGUCUCGCGCCCGGCAGCAGGACUGGCAUCGUCUCGCGCCCGGUGCUGCAGGACGGGUCGAUGGAGGCCAGUUUUGGCCGGCCUAGUGGUCUCAGCGCCGGGGGUCGCACAGGGGUGUGAAAGGCGGAACCUUUUCGCUCGUCUCUUUGGCUGGGUUAGCGGCGGGCCUCAGGUGAGGUGGUGUCAAGGUCUUGGAUGCCAGGGCGGCGGCCCUGGUGGUGGUAGCAUGAUGCUCUUGGGCAGAGCCCGUGGCUUGGUGCUGCCCGGUGGCCAUGGCCGUGAGGGCGGUGUGGUAGCUGGGGUGUGGAGUUCGGUGGCGAUGAGUAUUGGCCGGCGUGAAAACCUGUUCUAUCUUUGGCUGGACCGGCGACGGCGAAGCUCGUUCCCUUCUUGAAGGUGUCGCCGUGGCUCUCAUUGCCCAUCGUGUUGCUCCAGGGGAAACUCUAAUCCUUGGUUAGGACGGUGGCGGCGCUUUGGUAUUGUAACCUUCCUGAAGGCACCGCCUUGGAGCCCACGGUUCGUCAUAUGUGGCUUCAUCUCUUCGCGGUGGUGUGUUCACGGUUGAGGACCCCGGUUGCUCAUGUAGUGCUAGGGGCGGUGUUGCUACGCUCAACGCCUAUAUAUGUAUCCUGCCUUGGGUGUGUGCAUGUGUUGUGGUGGCAUGCGUUUGUACUGGGUUGUUGUUGAUCGUUGCUGUAUAUAUAAAGCGGGGUGAAAGCCUUUUCAGUAAAUGACUAAUAUAACUAAGUAUAAACCCCCCCUAUUUGCAUCCAUAAACACUUACAUUUGAGUAAGGAUAGAGCAAUUAUGAUAUGGUGAGUACAACUUCCAAACUGCUGGUUCAGUUGUCCCACGGUCCAGCCGCACAGAGAAAACAAAGGUACUUUCAGCAAUGGUGGCAAGAACCGCGGGUGCCCGCGGCGGAGUGGCUACAAGCAACAGAGUGGCAGCGACUAGCGGGUUGGUAGUGGUUGACAAUGUGAUGGCUAGCGGAGGUGCAAAUGGAGGAGGUGGGGGCGGGUCCUGGGGCGGAGAUGACCAAUGGAGAUCUAGUACUCAGGGCAUCGUUUGCGGUUGUUCAACGCUGCAUAGACAAGCGAGGGAGUUGUUGGGCUCGCAUGCUACCUUAGUCAAACUCAAGCUAUAACCAAGCCAAGUUCAAGUGCGGACACAUAAGCUUAGACGGGCCUGGUGAAGCAGGUCCACGAGCGGGCUCGGCUUGGAUUCUUUCCAACCCAACCAACAACCUCAAGCGAGACAACCAACAUUUAGCUUUCUAUUUUCACAUGGUGGAUUAGUGACAAUAGCUACAUUUUCCCCUAUGCCUCUCAAUCCGGUUACCAAAUCCGUGCACCUCAGAUGGGUAACAUAUCUUGAAUCCGUAUGCCAUAGGAGAGGAACAAAGUAGGAUGUAGAUCAUACCGGGGUGACAGGGUGCUAAUUGUUGCAUGCAUUGCAAGAAAUGAUGUAUCAUGUGGAUAUAUAGAGAGAUGUAAUGGCCACGUGGGCCGACCUAGAUAGUAUGUAUCAUGAAAGUACAAACUUAAAUGUCCUGACUCAUACAGCUCUCAACCACCUGCAAACAAUGCUAUAAUUGUUCCAUUGACGAGCAUUGAGAUUCCCUCACCCCUCACCCCACCCACAUAGGCACACGGAACGGGACGAGAUGAAACACAUAGUGAGGUUCAUAACCAGGUUUUGCAAUCCAGGAUGACUAUGAGACUUCAACACAGACUAUAAAUUGUUUAACCAGCCAGGUACACAUCCCCCUCAUGCUCAAUUUUGUGCCACACCUCAUCCAGCUCCACAUCCUAAAAUGGCUGAAGUAGGGAUUACAAGGCCACCUGUUCCUACUACACAAAUUACCGACCCAAUGUUUCUAGUCAGCCACACCAUAUGUCUGGGAGAACCAACGAGCUUUUGCUGUCUAAGAUCAAGAGGCUAGUCGGUACUUGUCAGUGGCUCAGUGCCUACGCAAAUAAGAAUAGGACCUGACAUCGAGCCGCUAGCAAGAAAGCUAAUUUUCUUGGCAAAUCUAAGUGGUGAACCAGGCAACCAUGGGAGAAAUCUUGCACUGUGAAAACAAAUUCAUCAGCGAUUCCUUUAGGGCAGCCGUAUGAGAGAUUGACAUACACAUGCCAAUAAAUAUUCUUUGCCGGGCCAAUCCUGAGCACCACUGGCAUAAACGAAGAAAAUAAUGAGGUGGGCACAAGAGUGCGCCCUGAGGGAAACAGAGAUCCCAACUCCCACCAGAGGGACAUCCGUGGCAAGAAGGCUCGGACAAGCUCCUUCCCAUUGUUUGAGCCUAGGAAUUUCUAGAAGAACCAGUUUUGUUGGCAAGUGACUUUUACCUGCUGUUUUACUGUCUCUAUGUCGUCUGCUCAAGCCCCACCAUGACAGUGGGGGUGAAGAUAUGGAGAACUGCUGAAACAGUUGCUCCUUCGGGGCAACAAUGAUACAGAGACGACGAUGAUCUUUAGAUCUUUAUAGUGAGCGAGGAUGGUGCUAACUUUGUUUGAUGUUUACGAACUGACUAAUAACCGUCGUUUUUUUCUUUCGCAUGCGUUAGGAGUUCAGUUGUUUGGUGCGCUUAAUAGGUAGUAGAAGAGUUGAUUAAACUGUUCAUGGUGUGAAGAACCUUUUGAUUUGCAGCUGACUUUGUUCACAUUGCGGACUUUGGAGUGUUCAUUCUGUUACUGUGGUAAUCGUUACCCACGUGUGAAGGCAUCAUCUCCAACUGUCUUAGUGUUUGAUUGUUUCUCUUCCAGUUGUGUUUGAGGGAAUGAAUUAACCCAGGUGAUAUUGUUUGUUCUGUGCUGUUGUUCAUCUGUCAAACGUUUGUGAUUACAGUUGAGCAAGUAUUGUUUUGUAUCAUGAAUUCAUGACUAAUGUAGUAGCAGAAGUUAAACAUAGCUUCAUGCAUCCAUAGGUUAUGGAUACUACAAGGAAGCAUCAUCAGGUGCACGAGCAGCCUGUACAGUCCAACAUCUUGAUCGAAGCAACACCUUUCCCAAUACCUCGCAAUCCGGUUAUGCUUCACCUCAUGCGGUAAACAUAUCUUGAAUCCAUAUACCAUUGGAGAAGAACAAUGGAGGAUGUAGAUAAUACUUUUGGUGGCUAUGUCGUGGCCAGGCUGUUUGUGCUAUGCAUUGCAGGACAUGUUGUACCCUGGGGGAUAUAUAUAUAGAGAGAGCUAGGGAUUUGAUGGCCAUGUGUAGAGCUAACCAUAACUUAUGCAACCCGUAGGCACAAACCUGAAUGUCCUGGCUUGUAGAGCUCUCAAACACCACCAGCCAUGAUACAAUCGACUCACCAACGGGCAUUGAGACGCCCUCAUAAAAGGCAAAAUAAAAACCCGAGAGGCAACAAAAUCCGAAGAUACUUUGUUAGAACCGCACGACAAUCGUGGUUAGCAUCUCAAAACUGAUGUCAACAAUAGAUGACGGUUCCUUGGAGCAUCCGCAACCCUUGGGGCUAAACCUCUAUACGUCUCUCCAAUAGAAAAAACACAGACCUAUCUUACUCCAUUGAUAUCAUCAUCGUAGUAAUAACAAAGUAAUUGAGUUCAAGUGGUUCCUUAGAUAAGAAGAAAUUCACAUAAUUUAUCCUUGUUGAUGGAAAGAAAACUAGUUUAAGAUGAAAAGUAAGUGCUCGUGGAUGUGACCACAAUGAAGCAUGCCCCUUUGCAGUCAAUCUGUCGAAUCUUUCGUGCAUAUUUUCUGUCAAUGCCCGUCCUCUGUCGAAACAUGAUUUAAGCCUAGCCUAAUAUGCAUUGAUUAACAAAGGUGUUAUUAAAUGAUAUGAAUAAAUAAUAGUACUGAACUAAACCUUCACUUUUUUGCAUCCAUACAAAUUCCAUUUGAUUAACCAUGGAACAGUUAUUAUAUGAUGAGUACAAGUUCCAAACUAUCACACAAAACUUCAGAAUGCUUGAGCGCAUGAUACCCUGGAAUCAUGAAAUGAAGACCUGAAAGAAUUUAUAGGUUGUACUCCCUUCGUAAAGAAAUAUAAGAGCGUUUAGAUGAGUGCGGCUAAUCUGCACCCGGGCUCAUCUGCACCCCCGCUUAAAAAAAAUUCAAAAAAAAUACUAGAAAAAUUCAAAAAAUUCCAAUUUUUUGUGGUGGCAGAUAAUUUGACGCGUGAGGUGCGCACCAAAAUUCAACUCAUUUGAGCAUCUGAGCAGCUCUCGGCAAAAAAGACAAAAUCAGGGUCUGUAAAAAUGUUUACUGUUCAUGCACUGUUUUGACCCGAUUUGUCUUUUUUGCCGACAGCUGCUCAGAUGUCCAAAUAAGUUGAAUUUUGGUGCGCACCUCACGCGUCUAAUUAUCUACCACCACAAAAAAAAUUGGAAUUUUUUGAAUUUUUCUAGUAUUUUUUUUAAAUUUUUUGCUGAGAGGGAGCAGAUGAGCCCGGGCACCGUUUUGAGUUUUCCCGUUUAGAUCACUAAACUUUCUUAUAUUUCUUUAUAGAGGGAGUAGUUGAUAGACAAGUUAGAUAGGCCAUGAUGGAGUGGCGGUGACUGGCGGAUGGCACUGAGGUGGAAAGAGCGGCAGUGGCCGGCAGAGUGGAAACAACCAGUGGUGGAACACAUGGUUGGGUGGGGCCAACGACCACUCUAACAUGCAUGCAUUGAGUGCGGGGGUUUGUUUCAGAACAAGAGCUCGUGCGCCGGUGCAUGAGAAAAAAACUGAGCAUGGGAGGAAGUUUUGCUAGGCCCGCAGGCAGACCGAGUGAAACUCAAGCUUUGACCAAGUCGAAUCCAAGUCCAACUUUUAUGGCUUAGAUGAGCCUUGCAAAGCAGAGCCAUGAGCUAGCUCGGCUCGACUUGUUUUCAAACGCAAGGAGCAACCUCUAGCCAGACAAUCAGUGUUUAACUUUUCUUUUUCAUCGAAAAAGGCUUUCGCCCCACUUUAUAUAUAAAGAAAAUCGUCACAAGCACAACCGGCAUCCAAUAGGAUAGUAGCACAACACACAACACACACCACACACACACACACACACACACACACACACACACACACAAGUUCGCACAAGAAAAGUAUUCUGCUGAGGGCACCACCACAAGAAGCCCUAAGAAACAAAAGCGGUACAUGCCGCGAGGGCGCUCCGUAGAGCUAGUUCAGAUCUUCCCUUUUUCACACAGUGGAGUAUGGAUGGUAGCUACAUUUUUUCCAAUGACUCUCAAUCCAACUUCCAUUCAUCUCUUCAGGGAAAUAGAUCUUGAAUUCAUGUGGUGUUGGAGAAGAACAAAGAAGGAUNNNNNNNNNNNNNNNNNNNNNNNNNNNNNNNNNNNNNNNNNNNNNNNNNNNNNNNNNNNNNNNNNNNNNNNNNNNNNNNNNNNNNNNNNNNNNNNNNNNNNNNNNNNNNNNNNNNNNNNNNNNNNNNNNNNNNNNNNNNNNNNNNNNNNNNNNNNNNNNNNNNNNNNNNNNNNNNNNNNNNNNNNNNNNNNNNNNNNNNNNNNNNNNNNNNNNNNNNNNNNNNNNNNNNNNNNNNNNNNNNNNNNNNNNNNNNNNNNNNNNNNNNNNNNNNNNNNNNNNNNNNNNNNNNNNNNNNNNNNNNNNNNNNNNNNNNNNNNNNNNGGGAGGUGUAUAUAUAGAGAGAUCUGGGCAUGUAAUUGCCAUGUGAAGACCUAGCGAAAUAUUACCUCUGUCCCAAAUGACUUGCCUUAAAUUUGUUUAGGUACCGAUGUACCUAACACUAAAACAUGUUCAAAUAUUUUUUUUUCAAAAGUAGCACGUUUUUUAUAGCAAUUUUGAAAACUAGCGGUGCUAACACGUUAUUUGCCAAACUAGCACCCCGUCAGUCAGCCGUUGGCCGAAGAGUGACUCUUCAGUCAGGUGUUGGCCGAAGAGUGUGUUUUCGGUCUGGCGUUGGCCGAAGACCUGCGGUGUCUUCGGCCAGCAGAUGGCCGAAGAGUGCUUUUCUGUCAUUUGUUGGCCGAAGAGUUCAUACUCUUUACGUUAACACCUGACCGAAGUUCCAUGGGAUUACUCUUCGGCUUACACAAGAGAACGGAGAACAUGCACCAACGGACAACACCAACGCCACCCCCUCGGCGGCACGAAGCUGCACCUCCUCCUCACCAGCCAAACCGCCUCCUCCUCCUCACCCCAUCAUGACUCUAACUCACUUGUACGCACAAAUAACUAUUCCAUAGAAAAAAAAUGACCGUAGGCCGGUGGAGAUGGCUACGAUAUACCAUUUCUGUGGUUUGGAUUCAAAAAUAGGUGGAGAAACGAAGAGAUCAGGGGGUGGGGGGGACGUACAGAGAGGAACCAAAGAGAGAGAGAGAGAGCAAGAACAACGAGACGAAAAAAGAAACCAGCUCGGGCCUUAUCCAAAGGUCUUCGGCCACUCAUUAGCCGAAAAGGUUUUCGGCCACGGGCUGGCCGAAGAGGCCCGUCUUCGGCCCAGCUCACACACUUUUCGGCUUACGUGUAACCGAAGAGUCCUCUUCGGGCUUCGGCUGGUCAGAAAGGCCCUCAUCGGCCAACGGUUGACCGACGGGGUGCUAGUUUUGCAAAUAACGUGUUAACACUGCUAGUUUUCUAAAUUGCUAUAAUAAAUGUGCUACUUUUGAAAAAAAAAUUCAAAUACAUCACUAUUUAGAACAAUCUAAGACAAAUAAUUCGGGAAGGAGGGAGUAAUAUGUAGCCUGCAGGUACAAACUGGAAUGUCAUGGCUUGUACAUGUCUCAACCACCCGCAGCCAAUGAUACAAGUCCACACACACAUGCACACGCACACGCGCGCGCGCACACACACAUACAUACCACAUAGACACAUACACGCACGCACUCACUCACACACACACACACACACACACGCACGCACACACACACAGGAUGCAUCAUAAUGUGAGGAUGCUUCCUUGCGUGACAAAGGAGGUAAGUCAUCCUAAAACUGGUAUAAAAAUAUAGGAUGCCUCUUAACAUCCACUAUUGGUUGCUUCAUCAAACAUGAAAUGCAGUUUAUCCAAAUUGAAAAGGUACAAUUUAGAUAUACGAGACCAGAACACACUUCUUAACACUGAUAUCAAUAUAUUAUGAAGCCACCGCACAUGACACAAUUUAUUCAACAACUACCUCUAGCAAGGACACAAUUGAUUCGCUUACUUGCAUUAGGAUGCCCUCACAUAAAGAAAAAUAAAAAAUGGAGAGGCAACAAAAACUGAGGACAUUUCCUUAGAAUUGCACAACAAAGCUCGGUUGGCAAUCUCAAAACUGAUCUCAACAAAAGAUUACGGUUCCUUAGAGCAUUAAUUCACAAUCCUUGGAGCUGAACCUCUAUAUAUCUGUCAUGUUAAAAGACGUAUCUCCUAAACACCGUUUUAGUCUUCUUUAACCCCACCAAUAUCACCAUUGUACCAAUAACUGAGUAAAUAAAUUUAAGAUUUUUUGGUUAAGAAGAAAUUCAUAGGAUUUAUCCUUGUUGAGAGAAAGAAAGCUAUAGUUUUAAGAUGAAAAAGAAGUCAGGUAAAUUUAUGCGCUUUGAUUACUACUAAACAUUCUUCAUGGCAUUUUCCCCUGAUCAGCUUGGUAUGCUGCAAAUCGCGAUCCUUUGCAUGCACUUGCUGAAACAAAUUGCUGCACUAGUCAUCUCUUUCUUUACUUGCUAUCAUUUCACCGCGUACUUCAUAGUAGCUAAGGAUACGUGAGCUCACAAGGUGUGAAAUAAGAAUAAGACCAAUCGAGACUUCAAAUGGGACAAUUUGAGCUGUAGAUCAUAAUGCCCAUUUGAAGGUAAAUCUCAACCAUAGAUGACUACUAGCACUAAACAUAAACCUUUCCUUCUUUGCAUUCACAAAUUUUUCAGUUGAGUACGUAUUGAGCAAUUAUGAUAUGGCGAGUACAACUUUCAAACUACUGGUUCAGUUGUUCAUGCGGCUCCGUCGUGUAGAGAAUGCAGAGGACGGUCAGCAAUGCUGGCAAGAACAACGAGUGACCGAGGUGGAGUAGCUACGUGCGAGGGAAUGGCUCCCAUUGGAGGAUUGACUGUGGUUAACGGAGUGGUGCUGGCUGGCCAAGGAGCAGACGGACGGGGUGGGAGCCGGCUGUGGAGUGGAGAUGCCUGACAGGGCUCUAGGAUUUCGUGCAUUGCAUGCUGGGGUCGGGAUCAGGAGAAGAGCAGAUACACGGGUACAGUGACAAGCAGCGGGAGUCGUUGGGCUUGCGUGCAGCUCUCGCCGAACUCAAGCUUUGACAUGGCCGAGUUCAAGCUUAGUUUUGUGAGUUUUGACGAGCCUGGACGAGGCAAGUCAUGACCCCGCUCGACAUGGCUUGUUUCCACCCCAUAAGCUAGAGAGACAUCAUUUAGCUUUCUUGUCACCGAGAGGGUUGUUGAUGGAUGCUACAUUUUUCCCAAUACCUUACAAUCCAAUUACAAUUUACCACAACCGGGUAAUAUAUCUAUGAAUCCAUAUACAUAGAAGAAGAACAAAGGAGGAUGUAGAUCAUAUUGUGGUGGCCUGCAUGCUAAUUCCUGCACACAUUGCAAGAGAUGAUGUAUCUUGGGGAAUACAUAUAUAGAGUUGGGCAUGUAAUGGCCAUGUGCUAGCUAAAAAUCAUGUAUUCAGCAGGUACACACAUAAUGUCCUGACUUGUAGAGCUCUUAAAACCAUCGUCAGCCAAUAAUGAUAGAAUCAGUUCGUUAUGAGCAUUGGAGUGCCCUCAUAAAGAAAAAAACUCUUUAGAUGCAGGACACAUGGAGGAGGAUGCUUCUUUACAUCUGCACAAUAGUAUGGUUAGGCCAACCCCAAUGCGGAUCACCAAAACAGACAUUACCAAAUCUCUGCGGGCAGACGCCGUUUAACCGGAGUCACCAAAUAUCUGGUCAAAUCCGAACAGAUAUUUAACAAAAGCCGAUGAAAUUCAUACAACCAGUAGGACAAAAAUUAACAAAGUUUGAAUUAACCGGAAAAAAAAAAUCAAAACUACACUCGAGAUACAGGACGAUGACCUUGUACGCAUGGUCCCUGAGACAGCCGACACCAUAGUCCUUGUCUGCGCCGUCGCCACUGCCGUCAGAGCCGUCAUAUUCAACGUGCUUUCAGUCCACAGGAACAUUGGCAAGCAUCGCGACAACCCUCAUUGGUUACUGCUGCACAAUUGCGGUCCAGUAAGUUGGCCUCCUUCGCCUAGGCAGCGCCUUGGCCGCCUCGGUGGGGAGCCGGAUCCCCUGACGUACGGCCACCUGACGUUGGGCCACUGACGCGUGGAUCCGGGUCCACACGUCAGCGAGUGCGCCGUACGUCAGAGGAGCUGCGUCCCCUCGGUGGUGCCGACACAACCGUGGACUCAGUCGCGCGCAGCACACAUUUGAGCCGGUCCAAGCACUCGGACUCGGCCAACCCCACUUUGAGGAGCUGGUCGCUGAUCUGGCACCCGCCACAAGUGGUGGUCUGCGCGGUGUUCCUGGACCGGUCAAUGCCUAGGCCUUCGCGACUGCACACCUCGCGAACGACACCCGAUGGUAUGCGUUUCAUCACUACUAGAGCGCCGCCUCACAGGCCACCAUGGAGGACACCAUCAUUCUUGAAGACGAGCUGUUGCCACCGAGGUAGUAGGCGAGGUGUCUGCGCUGUAAAAAUUAUUGAAUGAUUGUGUUGUUAUGUGUUGUUGUAUUGAUCUAACACUCGUAGGGGUAUAUAUAAAGUACAACAUGCGAUGAGACUUGGAGUACAAGACAAGUCAUAGUAUAUUAAAACUAAUUCUAUCUCCAUCUCUCCUUAUCUCUAACUGAACACGUUUAUAUUAUUACAUUCCCCCUCACUCGUAGCGGGUCGCCGGAGUGAAGCGGACAAGUACGACUGAAUUUGAAGUCUUGUGCUUCCGUCGUCUUCUCCGCUGCGCCAUCAUCAAUUGCGUCUCUGAUGGGUCGGCACCUAGGGCGGUGACUGCGUCCCCUUCUCGUGCUUCCUUGUCUCUUCCCUCUUCCCUGUCGUAGUCACAGCAGGAGUGACGUGAACGCUGAUGACGACGCGGAAGCUGUUGACUGGAGUUGUUGCCGAUAUGUUGCUGUAGACGUAGCCAUUAAUGUCAAUAUCGAGGUAGCCGAUCAUGGUGAUGUAGCCGUGGUCGAGGUAGUCGUGGUCGAUGGUGUGGUCGUCGUGGAUGAUGAAGCCGCAUAGAGCCUGAAGGCGCAAAAAAUGCGCUAUGACGGAGCUGCAGACGUGGACGAUGCACCUUGCGGAUGUGAGAGGGUGCCAUCGGUGACAAGUUGCCGGUUUUGCCAAGACCAGAGGAAGCCCAUCAAGAACACAUCGGUUUUGCUAGAACCGUGUGGCCAUGUAGGGUCGUCACUGUAGUGACGCCGUGUCGAUGCAGUCGUGCUGUCGUGGAUGACGCCAUCGAUGCUGUCGUCGUUGUCGCGUCUUGCAGAAAAGUCUGUCAGAGGACACUAGGUGUCCAUCUUGUGUACAAGGCAGCGGCGGUGCGUUGACGAAAAUGUUGGUGAAGACCAUGUUGAUGAAGAGCUUGGCGAUGAUGUUGCAGCGGCGUGUCGACGAUAAUGUGUCGCUUGAAGGCGUCCCUCGCGGCGACCAAGUGUCAAUGCCGUGUCGCGCCAGAAAAGUCAAUGAAGAUUGCAUCUCGUUCCACACCGGCCUGACGUGUGGAUGGUGCAUGUUGAGAUCGCUUCUCGUAGACAUACUCGUCGAAGUAUAUUGGCUUGUAGUCUGGCGUAGUGUAUAGCUUGAUGAUGCGGCGUGGGUCGGCGGAUGGUGCGUCGUUCAGUCGCGUGGCCGCCCUCCCGGUCGAUGCCUCGUAUAUGCGCAAAUGGAUGUGUAGCUGGCGGUUGUCGAUGGCUGCACGUGUCGGAGUCCAUGUAUCGCUGCAUGCAUCUCCUCGCAUGGCUGGAUGGGCCUUUGACAAUGGAGGCUGCUGGGGCGGCUUGGGCGGCACCGUAAGCCAGCCGCCGCCCGCUCCCCUCCCUCCAUCUCUUUCCCUCGCCGUCACCUGAGGAGUCCGGCGAGAAAUCUCACUGCGCUUUCGAGGAGGGUGGCAACCAGGCGUUCUCUCUCCAGCCCAGGCGAGUGGUGCGGGAAGCCAACGCGUGGAGUGCUCAUGGCGGCUGGUGUCAAGGCUCUUGUAGAUCCGGCUCGCUGGUGGUCGGGGAUGCAACGUAUGAUGGCGGAUCCGGUGAGCAGUAGGUGCUCCGUUGGUGUAGUGCAGUCGUUGGGCGUCGACGUGGCUUCGGUCGUGGACGUCGGUCCCCAGCCCGGGGGAUCUGGAUCUGGCCGGUCUGCCCCCCUAUCUGCGGGCUGGUGGCCUAGAAGGAGUGCUGCUGGCGGUCGGUGGUGCCCGGUUGGCGCGAGCAAGUAGGCUCUGGCCGUGGUGGAUGCGUGGGGUGCAGGGCCGAUCUGGCUUGUGCAAGCCCGACGUCGCGGGGGCUCAGCGGGCCCGUGUUUGCCGGCGGUGAGGAAGAUGGUGGUCCUGGGCAGUGUUGGCGUGCUCGCUGCGUUGGGGUGCGCGGCCAGCGGAGGUACUUGUCGGCCUUGGCUGGCUGCGUGGGAGUGGUUGCUCCGGGCGAAAGCUUGGCCGGUGCUCGCCGGUCGGCGACGACGGCGCCCGUGGGCGUCGUUAUCCUCCUUGGAGGCAUCGUUGGGAUCUGCAUCCUCUACUCCCGGGUCAGGAUCUUCGGGUGAAACCCAAGAUCCUGCUAUAGGAUCGGGCGGUGGCGUCGUCUUCAAUGUCGUUUUCCCCUCUUUAGAACGCCGUCUUGAAGAUCCUGGUCCCAUUGGUGCCUCCUACGGGCUGGCCGUGCACGGCAUUGUGGCUAUCCGUUUGUCAAUGAGGGUGGUUGGACUUCUAUGGCAACGAUGACGGUGGUGAGCAUGGUCGGGGGCAUGGCAUUGGUCGUGGUAGUUGGCUCUUCUCCGACGUGUCCGUUGGAUGGCCUUAGCUGCUUGUUGCUGUGAAGUCGAAGCCGCGGUGCAGGGCGGUGCGGGGCCCUGGUGGCGUACGACAGGUGCUCCGUUUGGCGAUUCUUCGCGACGCCAACCUUGCCUAGUUCUCCGUAGUUCUUCGUUGGAGUCGAAGCUACGUUGUCUUGUUGUGGGUGGAUGGUGAUCCACAACGUGAGUAUAGUGUUGUUCUGCAGCCAAUAGGUUGUCGUUUUUUUUUCUUUUUUUUUGAUCUUUGGAUCCUCUUCAUGUUGUUUUUCCGUUGCUUUCUGCUAAAUCUAAUCGAAGCCAGCAAUUUGCUGGAUCUUAAAAAAAAAGAUAAUGGAGGCUGCUGGUGGCUGUUUGAGGAGCCGGUGGCCGCUCUGGAUCACGCUUGCGCGAUUCCUGCCGUGCGUGCUCGUGGCCGGCCCUCCUGUGUGGCCUCGGCUGGUGGACGCGAGGAGGUGGUCGUCGUUGCCCUUGAUCUCUCAGCCUGUGCAAAGCUAGCUAGCCUGAGGCUUGAUCCAUCACUGGCCAAAUUACCAAGCUAGCUCACGAUGCGAGGAUGCCGCGGCCGGCGCGGCCUUCCGGAUCGAAGGUGUCGUGUGCCUGGUGUCGAGGGAGCCGCCCAAAGCCACGAGAUGUGUAGCUUGAUGCCGCAGGUGAUCGCCGCCGCGUACGUCGAUAGGUGUUGUACGAUUGGCCGCCGGUAUAAGCACCAAUUUUUGCUGGAAUUUGAGGGCAGCAGGAUUUUAUUUGGUGGCUAAUUGAAUUAAUCUAGUGGAUGGAUUUUGGAAAACUCGAAAUUGGAAACCUAUGAAAAUCUAAUUGGAUCUAAUCUAUCUAAUGAACCGGUCUAUCUUUGAUGGUCGGAAGCCACGCCCUCGGGGAGAGGAGAUUAAUCUACCCGGAGGCGACACACUGCGGAAGUGGUGGAAGGUCCUAGGAUCAGCGUCGUUGGACAAACUGCUCUAAUAUCAUGUAGAAAUUGUAGGAUGGUUGUGUUGUUAUGUGUAGCUGUAUUGAUCUGACACUCGUAGGGGUAUAUAAAAAGUACAACAUGUGGUGAAACUUGGAGCACAAGACAAGUCAUAGUAUAUUAAAACUAAUUCUAUCUCCAUCUCUCCUUAUCUCUAACUAAAUAUGGUACCUGAGCCAAGAGUUUCAAUAAACGAUUCUGCGGUCUACAUCAAUCCCACGUCUAAGGACUAAAAUAGACUAGACGUGAUGGGUGGUGUUGAAGUGUAAUGUCCGGUCCUCUUUCAUAGUUCGGACUGAUGGUGAACUGGUUAAUUGCAUAAACUUACAACCAAGAGGUUCAGGGUUCAAAACCCAGUAAAAGCAAUAAAUAAUUGUGGCCUGCCCCCGCUUGCGCUGCCUUCGUCGUAUAGCCAGUAGCUCCCGGAGUGACAACUGCGUACACCUCCAAGAAUAUUUAUUUAUCAGGUAAGAUGCCUGUGUAAAUUGCAAGAUUUUUGAAAGUUUAAUCAUGACUCUCAGUUGGAAAAAAUAUUUAUAUUGUUGGAGACAAUUGUAAGACUACUGAAUUUAGUUGUGCUGAAACUUUCAACCAAGAUGAAAUGAUUCCACAUUUGGACCCUGGGAUGGUUUCUUCAACCGUUGAUCCUGAUGCUGCUGGAUACGCUGAAAGAGCAAACAAAGCCAAGAAGCCAGUCAAGAUUAGUGCCCGAAGCCUUGCAAAGCCGGAAAGAAACGAGGUGAUGAAAGCUGCAGCAAAAGCUCGGGCAUCAUCCUCUAUUCUCCGACCAAUAGAUGCCCGCCAUGGCAAUGAAGCUGAUAUUAGCUCCAGUGGCAAUGCCAAUGUCAGGAGUAGCAUGAGUGUUGACUACAGUGCUACAAAGGAAUCGAGGAGUGAGAUGCUGCUGUUCCCUCUACGGAACUUGUAUCCGCAGAGUCUUGCCAGUUACGAUGACUAUGAGACUGGCACACAGACUGCAAACAGUUUAAACAGCCCGGUCCACAUCCACAAGUUUGCCCCUCAUGCUCAAUUUCGUGUAGCACCUCAUCCAGCUCCACCUCCUAAAAGGCCUGCGCUAGGGAUUACAAGGCCACAUGUUCCUGCCACACAUAUAAGUAACAACCCAAUGUUCCAGUCAGCCACAUCAUAUGUCAGGGAGAACCGAAGAGCCUCUGUUGUCUGGGAUCAAGAGGCUGGUCGGUACGUGUCAGUGCCCAUGCAAACAACAAGAACAGGGCCCGGUGUUGAGCUGCCUGCAAGAAACCCAAGUUUCUUGGUGAAUCCAAGUGGUGAACCAGGCAACCAUGGGAGAAAUCUUGCACCUGCCAACACAACUUCAUCAGCGAUUCCUUCGGGGCAGCUGUCCGAGAGGUUGACGUACACAGGCCAAUCAAUAUUCUUUGGCGGGCCAAUCCUGAGCACCACUGGCAUAAAUGAAGAAAGGAAUGAGGCGGGCACAAGAGUGCGUCCUGAGACAAGCAGAGAUCCCAACUCCCACCAGCGUGACAUCCGUGGUGAGAAGGCUCGGACAGGCUCCUUCCCGUUGUAUGAGCCUAGGAAUUUCUAGAAGAACCUGCUUUGAUGGCAAGUGACCUUGACUGGCUGUUUUACUCUUCUAUACUAUGUCGUCUGCUCAAGUGCCACCACCACGACAGUGGGGGUGAUGUUGAUGCACUGCACCCCAUGCAGAGUCAGGGAACUGCUAAAAUAGUUGACCCGGGACACAUAGAUAACGAUGCUUCUUAGAGCUUUAUUAUAGUGAGCGAGGAUGGCGCUAACUUUGUUUGAUGUUUUACAAACUGACUGAUAGUCGCAGUUUUAUUUUGCGUGUAUUAGGAGUUGAGAUGUUUGAUGCGCUUGGCAUGUAGUAGAAGAGCUGAUUAAACUUGUCCUUGAUGUGUAGAACCUUGUGAUUUGCCGCUGACUUUGUUCACAUUACGGACUUCGGAGUGUUCAUUGCAAGUCUCUGUUCUAUUACUGCUGUAAUAGUAGCCCACGUGUGAAGGCAUUGUCUCCAACUAUCUUGGCGUUUGACUGCUUUAUUUUCGUGUUGAGAGAAUGGAAUUUGACCGGAUGAUACUGCUUGCUGCAUAAUUGAUGUUCAUUUUCCAAACUAAAUUAGUGAGAUGGGUAUGAUUGCAAUUGAAUAAUUCUUGUUCUGUAUCAUGAGUUCAUAUCUAAAUAAACUGCGGCUUAUUAGUGCCACUGCAUUGCUGUCAACGUGCCAAGGAUGUUGCAAAAUUCCCCGCGUUUAUGUAAACUACUCCCUCUGUCCAAUAAUAUUAUCAGACAGAGGGAGUACCUAUUUGAACAUGGCAAGAAUAAUGAUAGUACCGGAAGUUAAACUUAGUUUCAUUGCAUCCAUAGGUUGUGGAUGCUCUAUGGAAGCAUCACUUCUGCGCCAUCAGGCUCAUUGCCACAACCUUUAGUUAGGAAUCCUGUGUUUAAUUCUCUUUUCUUUACGGGCUGACUUCUUGAUCGAAGCAACAUCUUUCUCAAUACCACACAAUCAGAUUACCAUUCACCUCGCGCGGGAAACAGAUCUUGAAUCCAUAUGCCAUGGGAGAAGAACAAAGGAGGAUGUAGAUCAUACAAUGGCGGCCAGAGUGUUAUUUUUUGUUUUGUUUUUGGAUGAAGUGGUGUUCUGGGUGUUUGCUGUAUGCAUUGCAACAUAUGAUGUAUCCUGGGGAUAUAUAUAGAGAGAUCUAGGGUUGUAAUGACUGUUGGAAAUAUGCCCUAGAGGCAAUAAUAAAAGGAUUAUUAUUAUAUUUCCUUGUUCAUGAUAAUUGUCUUUAUUCAUGCUAUAGUUGUAUUAUCCGGAAAUCGUAAUACACGUGUGAAUACAUAGACCACAAUAUGUCCCUAGUAAGCCUCUAGUUGACUAGCUCGUUGAUCAACAGAUAGUCAUGGUUUCCUGACUAUGGACAUUGGAUGUCAUUGAUAACGGGAUCACAUCAUUAGGAGAAUGAUGUGAUGGACAAGACCCAAUCCUAAGCAUAGCACAAGACCGUGUAGUUCGUUUUGCUAGAGCUUUUCCAGUGUCAAGUAUCUUUUCCUUAGACCAUGAGAUCCUGUAACUCCCGGAUACCGUAGGAGUGCUUUGGGUGUACCAAACGUCACAACGUAACUGGGUGACUAUAAAGGUGCACUACAGGUAUCUUCGAAAGUGUCUGUUGGGUUGAAACGGAUCGAGAUUGGGAUUUGUCACUCCGUAUGACGGAACAAGGUAUUGGGAUACCAACGGUCGAAUCUUGGGCAAGUAACGUACCGAUUGACAAAGGGAAUUGUAUACGGGGUUGCUGAAAUCCUCAACAUCAUGGUUCAUCCGAUGAGAUCAUCGAGGAGCAUGUGGGAGACAACAUGGGUAUCCAGAUCCGCUGUUGGUUAUUGACCGGAGAGCCGCCUCGGUCAUGUCUGCGUGUCUCCCGAACCCGUAGGGUCUACACACUUAAGGUUCGAUGACGCUAGGGUUGUAUGAAUAUGAGUAUGCAGUAAACCGAAAGUUGUUCGGGGUCCCGGAUGAGAUCCCAGACGUCACGAGGAGUUUCGGAAUGGUCCGGAGGUAAAGAAUUAUAUAUGGGAAGUCGAGUUUCGGCCAUCGGGAAAGUUUCGGGGUCCACCAGUAUUGUACCGGGACCACCGGAAGGGUCCCGGGGGUCCACCGGGUGGGUCCACCUAUCCCGGAGGGCCCCGUGGGCUGAAGUGGGGAGGGUACCAGCCCCUGGUGGGCUGGUGCGCUCCCCUGGGCCCCCCUCUGGUGGUUCAUCCGAUGAGAUCAUCGAGGAGCAUGUGGGAGCCAACAUGGGUAUCCAUAUCCCGCUGUUGGUUAUUGACCGGAGAGCCGUCUCGGUCAUGUCUGCGUGUCUCUCGAACCCGUAGGGUCUACACACUUAAGGUUCGGUGACGCUAGGGUUGUAUGAAUAUGAGUAUGCAGUAAACCGAAAGUUGUUCGGGGUCCCGGAUGAGAUCCCAGACGUCACGAGGAGUUCCAGAAUGGUCCGGAGGUAAAGAAUUAUAUAUGGGAAGUCGAGUCUCGGCCAUUGGGAAAGUUUUGGGGUCCACCGGUAUUGUACCGGGACCACCGGAAGGGUCCCGGGGGUCCACCGGGUGGGGCCAUCUAUCCCGGAGGGCCCCGUGGGCUGAUGUGGGGAGGGGACCAGCCCCUGGUGGGCUGGUGCACCCCUCCUGCCCCCCCUCUGUGCCUAGGGUUGGGAACCCUAGGGGAGGGGGCGCCUCCACUUGCCUUGGGGGGCACUCCACCCCCUUGGCCGCCGCCCCCCUAGAGAUCCCAUCUCUAGGGCCGGCACCCCCCUGGGGGUCCCUAUAUAAAGAGGGGGGGGGGAGGGAGGGCAGCCGCACCUGAAGUCUUGGCGCCUCCCUCUCCCCUUGCUACACCUCCUCCUCCCGUAAUCGCUUGGCGAAGCCCUGCCGGAACCCUACUGCAUCCACCACCACGCCGUCGUGCUGCUGGAUCUUCAUCAACCUCUCCUUCCCUCUUGCUGGAUCAAAAAGGAGGAGACAUCAUCCGCUCCGUACGUGUGUUGAACGCGGAGGUGCUGUCCGUUCGGCACUUGGUCAUCGGUGAUUUGGAUCACGACGAGUACGACUCCCUCAACCCCAUUCUCUUGAACGCUUCCGCUCGCGAUCUACAAAGGUAUGUAGAUGCACUUCUAUCACUCAUUGCUAGAUGAACUCCUAGAUGGAUCUUGGUGAAACCGUAGAUUUUUUUUAUUUUCUGCAACGUUCCCCAACAGUGGUAUCAAAGCCAGGUUUAUGCGUAGUUCUCUAUUACAUGAGUAGAACACAAAUCUGUUGUGGGCGUAGAUCUUGUCAACUUGCUUGCCGCAACUAGUCUUAUUUUGCUUCAGCGGUAUUGUGGGAUGAAGCAUCCCGGACCGACCUUACACGUACGCUUACGUGAGACAGGUUCCACCGAUUGACAUGCCCUAGUUGCAUAAGGUGGCUAGCGGGUGUAUGUCUCUCCCACUUUAGUUGGAGCGGAUUCGAUGAAAAGGGUCCUUAUGAAGGGUAAAUAGAAGUUGACAAAAUCACGUUGUGGUUAUUCGUAGGUAAGAAAAUGUUCUUGCUAGAACCCAAUUGCAGCCACGUAAAAGAUGCAACAACAAUUAGAGGACGUCUAACUUGUUUUUGCAGCAAUUGCCUUGUGAUGUGAUAUGGCCAACAGUUGUGAUGAAUGAUGAAUGAUAUAUUGUGAUGUAUGAGAUCAUGUUCUUGUAAUAGGAAUCACGACUUGCAUGUCGAUGAGUAUGACAACCGGCAGGAGCCAUAGGAGUUGUCUUAAUUAUUGUAUGACCUGCGUGUCAAUGAUUUAACGCCAUGUAAUUACUUUACUUUAUUGCUAAACCGUUAGCCAUAGUAGUAGAAGUAAUAGUUGGCGAGCAACUUCAUGGAGGCACGAUGAUGGAGAUCAUGAUGAUGGAGAUCAUGGUGUCAUGCCGGUGACGAAGAUGAUCAUGGAGCCCCGAAGAUGGAGAUCAAAGGAGCUAUAUGAUAUUGGCCAUAUCAUGUCACUACUAUAUAAUUGCAUGUGAUGUUUAUUAUGUUUAUGCAUCUUGUUUACUUAGAACGAUGGUAGUAAAUAAGAUGAUCCCUUAUAACAAUUUCAAGAAAGUGUUCUCCCCUAACUGUGUGCCGUUGCUAAAGUUCGUCGUUUGAAGCACCACGUGAUGAUCGGGUGUGAUAGAUUCUUACGUUCACAUACAACGAGUGUAAGACAGUUUUACACAUGCAAAAACACUUAGGGUUAACUUGACGAGCCUAGCAUGUACAGACAUGGCCUCGGAACACAGGGACCGAAAGGUCGCACAUGAGUCGUAUGACGAUCAACAUGGAGAUGUUCACCGAUGAUGACUAGUCCGUCUGACGUGAUGAUCGGACACGGCCUAGUCGACUCGGAUCGUGUAACACUUAGAUGACUAGAGGGAUGUCUAAGCUGAGUGGGAGUUCAUUAAAAUAAUUUGAUUAGAUGAACUUAAUUAUCAUGAACUUAGUAUAAAAUCUUUGCAAAAUAUGUCUUGUACUCCCUCCGUCCAUGAAUAAGUGUACAUCUAGCUUUUGUCUUAAGUCAAAGUUUUAAAACUUUGACCACCUUUCUAGGAAAAAAUAAAAGCAUUUAUGACACCAAGUUAGUAUCACUAGAUUCAUUUUGAAAUGUACUUUGAUAAUCUAUCAAUUUGAUGUCAUAUAUGUUACUAUUAUUUUCUAUAAAGUUGGUCAAAAUUUUAAAAUUUUGACUUAGAACAAAAGCUAGAUGUACACUUAUUCGCGGACGGAGGGAGUAGAUCAAAUGGCCAACGCUCAUGUCAACAUGAACUUCAAUACGUUCCUAGAGAAAACCAAGCUGAAAGAUGAUGGUAGCAACUAUACGGACUGGGUCCGGAACCUGAGGAUCAUCCUCAUAGCUGCCAAGAAAGCAUAUGUCCUAGAAGGACCACUAGGUGAAGCACCCAUCCCAGAGAACCAAAACGUUAUGAAUGCUUGGCAGUCACGUGCUGAUGAUUGCUCCCUCGUUCAGUGUGACUUGCUUUACAGCUUAGAACCGGGGCUCCAAAAGCGUUUUGAGCACCACGGAGCAUAUGAGAUGUUUGAGGAGCUGAAAAUGGUUUUCCAAGCUCAUGCCCGGGUCGAGAGAUAUGAAGUCUCCGACAAGUUCUAUAGUUGUAAGAUGGAGGAAAAUAGUUCUGUCAGUGAGCACAUACUCAAAAUGUCUGGGUUGCACAAUCGCCUGUCCCAGGUGGACAUUAACCUCCCGAACGAGGCGGUCAUUGGCAGAAUCCUUCAGUCGCUCCCGCCGAGCUACAAGAGCUUUGUGAUGAACUACAAUAUGCAGGGGAUGGUGAAAACUAUUCCUAAAGUAUUUUCAAUGCUGAAGUCGGCAGAGGUAGAAAUCAAGAAAGAACAUCAAGUGUUGAUGGUCAAUAAAACCACCAAGUUUAAGAAGGGCAAGGGUAAGAAGAACUUCAAGAAGGACGGCAAAGAUGUUGCCGCACCCGGUAAGCCAGUUGCCGGGAAGAAGUCAAAGAAUGGACCCAAGCCCGAGACUAAGUGCUUUUAUUGCAAAGGGAAGGGUCACUGGAAGCGGAACUGCCUCAAAUACUUAGCGGACAAGAAGGCCGGCAACACUAAAGGUAUAUGUGAUAUACAUGUAAUUGAUGUGUACCUUACUAGUAAUCGUAGUAACUCCUGGGUAUUUGAUACCGGUGUCGUUGCUCAUAUUUGUAACUCACAGCAGGAGCUGCAGAAUAAGCGGAGACUGGCGAAGGACGAGGUGACGAUGCGCGUCGGGAAUGGUUCCAAGGUCGAUGUGAUCGCCGUCAGCACGCUACCUCUACAUUUACCUACGGGAUUAGUUUUAAACCUUAAUAAUUGUUAUUUAGUGCCAAGUUUGAGCAUGAACAUUGUAUCUGGAUCUUGUUUAAUACGAGAUGGCUACUCAUUUAAAUCCGAGAAUAAUGGUUGUUCUAUUUAUAUGAGAGAUAUGUUUUAUGGUCAUGCCCCGAUGGUCAAUGGUUUAUUCUUAAUGAAUCUCGAACGUAGUGUUACACAUAUUCAUAGUGUGAAUAUCAAAAGAUGUAAAGUUCAUAUUCAUAGUGUGAAUACCAAAAGAUGUAAAGUUAAUAACGAUAGUCCCACAUACUUGUGGCACUGCCGCCUUGGUCACAUUGGUGUCAAGCGCAUGAAGAAGCUCCAUGCUGAUGGACUUUUAGAGUCUCUCGAUUAUGAAUCAUUUGACACAUGCGAACCAUGCCUCAUGGGCAAAAUGACCAAGACUCCGUUCUCCGGAACAAUGGAGCGAGCAACCAACUUAUUGGAAAUCAUACAUACCGAUGUGUGCGGUCCAAUGAGCAUUGAGGCUCGUGGAGGAUAUCGUUAUGUUCUCACUCUCACUGAUGACUUGAGUAGAUAUGGGUAUGUCUACUUUAUGAAACACAAGUCUGAGACAUUUGAAAGGUUCAAGGAAUUUCAGAAUGAGGUAGAGAAUCAACGUGACCGAAAGAUAAAAUUCUUAUGAUCAGAUCGUGGAGGAGAAUAUUUAAGUCACGAAUUUGGUACACACUUAAGAAAAUGUGGAAUCGUUUCACACUCACGCCGCCUGGAACACCUCAGCGUAAUGGUGUGUCCGAACGUCGUAAUCGCACUCUAUUGGAUAUGGUGCGAUCUAUGAUGUCUCUUACCGAUUUACCGCUAUCAUUUUGGGGAUACGCUCUAGAGACAGCUACAUUCACUUUAAAUAGGGCUCCGUCUAAAUCCGUUGAGACGACACCGUAUGAAUUAUGGUUUGGGAAGAAACCUAAGCUGUUGUUUCUAAAAGUUUGGGGAUGCGAUGCUUAUGUCAAGAAACUUCAACCUGAAAAGCUCGAACCCAAGUCGGAAAAAUGCGUCUUCAUAGGAUACCCUAAGGAAACCAUUGGGUAUACCUUCUACUUAAGAUCCGAGGGCAAGAUCUUUGUUGCCAAGAACGGAUCCUUUCUGGAAAAAGAGUUUCUCUCGAAAGAAGUAAGUGGGAGGAAAGUAGAACUCAAUGAAGUACUACCUCUUGAACCGGAAAGUAGUGCAACUCAGGAAAAUGUUCCUGUGGUGCCUACACCAACUGGAGAGGAAAUUAAUGAUGAUGAUCAAGGUACUUCGGAUCAAGUUGCUACUGAACUUCAUAGGUCCACAAGGACACGUUCCACACCAGAGUGGUAUGGCAACCCUGUCCUGGAAAUCAUGUUGUUAGACAACGGUGAACCUUCGAACUAUGAAGAAGCGAUGGUGGGCCCAGAUUCCAACAGAUGGCUUGAAGCCAUGCAAUCCGAGAUAGAAUCCAUGUAUGAAAACAAAGUAUGGACUUUGACAGACUUGCCCGAUGAUCGGCGAGUGAUAGAAAACAAAUGGAUCUUUAAGAAGAAGACGGACACGGAUGGUAAUAUUACCAUCUAUAAAGCUCGACUUGUCGCUAAGGGUUAUCGGCAAGUUCAAGGGGUUGACUACGAUGAGACAUUCUCUCCCGUAGCGAAGCUGAAGUCCGUUCGAAUCAUGUUAGCAAUUGCCACAUACUAUGAUUAUGAGAUAUGGCAGAUGGACGUCAAAACGGCAUUCCUUAACGGACAUCUUAAGGAAGAACUGUAUAUGAUGCAGCCGGAAGGUUUUGUCGAUCCUAAGAAUGCUAACAAAGUAUGCAAGCUCCAGCGAUCCAUUUAUGGGCUGGUGCAAGCAUCUCGGAGUUGGAACAUUCGCUUUGAUGAGAUGAUCAAAGCGUUUGGGUUUAUGCAGAAUUAUGGAGAAGCCUGCGUUUACAAGAAAGUGAGUGGGAGCUCUAUAGCAUUUCUCAUAUUAUAUGUAGAUGAAAUAAUUUUGAUGGGAAAUGAUAUAGAACUUUUGGAAAACAUUAAGGCCUACUUGAAUAAGUGUUUUCAAUAAAGGACCUUGGAGAAGCUGCUUACAUAUUAGGCAUCAAGAUCUAUAGGGAUAGAUCAAGACGCCUCAUAGGUCUUUCACAAAGCACAUACCUUGAUAAGAUUUUGAAGAAGUUCAAAAUGGAUCAGUCCAAGAAAGGGUUCUUGCCUGUAUUGCAAGGUGUGAGAUUGAGCGCGGCUCAAUGCCCGACCACGGCAAAAGAUAAAGAAGAGAUGAGUGUCAUCCCCUAUGCUUCAGCCAUAGGAUCUAUUAUGUAUGCCAUGCUGUGUACCAGACCUGAUGUAAACCUUGCCGUAAGUUUGGUAGGAAGGUACCAAAGUAAUCCCGGCAAGGAACACUGGACAACAGUCAAGAAUAUCCUGAAGUACCUGAAAAGGACAAAGGACAUGUUUCUCGUUUAUGGAGGUGACGAAGAGCUCGCCGUAAAGGGUUACGUCGACGCUAGCUUCGACACAGAUCUGGAUGACUCUAAGUCACAAACCGGAUACGUGUAUAUGUUGAAUGGUGGAGCAGUAAGCUGGUGCAGCUGCAAGCAGAGCGUCGUGGCGGGAUCUACAUGUGAAGAGGACUACAUGGCAGCCUCGGAGGCAGCGCAUGAAGCAAUUUGGAUGAAGGAGUUCAUCAUCGACCUAGGAGUCAUACCCAAUGCGUCGGGGCCGAUCAAACUCUUCUGUGACAACACUGGAGCUAUUGCCCUUGCAAAGGAGCCCAGGUUUCACAAGAAGACCAGGCACAUCAAGCGUCGUUUCAACUCCAUCCGUGAAAAUGUUCAAGAUGGAGACAUAGAUAUUUGCAAAGUACAUACGGAUCUGAAUGUCGCAGAUCCGUUGACUAAACCUCUUUCGCGAGCAAAACAUGAUCAACACCAGAACUCUAUGGGUGUUCGAUUCAUAACAAUGUAACUAGAUUAUUGACUCUAGUGCAAGUGGGAGACUGUUGGAAAUAUGCCCUAGAGGCAAUAAUAAAAGGAUUAUUAUUAUAUUUCCUUGUUCAUGAUAAUUGUCUUUAUUCAUGCUAUAGUUGUAUUAUCCGGAAAUCGUAAUACACGUGUGAAUAUAUAGACCAUAAUAUGUCCCUAGUAAGCCUCUAGUUGACUUGCUCGUUGAUCAACAGAUAGUCAUGGUUUCCUGACUAUGGACAUUGGAUGUCAUUGAUAAUGGGAUCACAUCAUUAGGAGAAUGAUGUGAUGGACAAGACCCAAUCCUAAGCAUAGCACAAGAUCGUGUAGUUCGUUUUGCUAGAGCUUUUCCAAUGUCAAGUAUCUUUUCCUUAGACCAUGUGAUCGUGUAACUCCCGGAUACCGUAGGAGUGCUUUGGGUGUACCAAACGUCACAACGUAACUGGGUGAUUAUAAAGGUGCACUACAGGUAUCUCUGAAAGUGUCUGUUGGGUUGACACGGAUCGAGACUGAGAUUUGUCACUCCGUAUGACGGAGAGGUAUCUCUGGGCCCACUCGGUAAUGCAUCAUCAUAAUGAGCUCAAAGUGGCCAAGUGUCUGGUCACGGGAUCAUGCAUUGCGGUACGAGUAAAGUGACUUGCCGGUAACGAGAUUGAACAAGGUAUUGGGAUACCGACGAUCGAAUCUCGGGCAAGUAACGUACCGAUUGAUAAAGGGAAUUGUAUACGGGGUUGCUUAAAUCCUCGACAUCGUGGUUCAUCCGAUGAGAUCAUCGAGGAGCAUGUGGGAGCCAACAUGGGUAUCCAUAUCCCGCUGUUGGUUAUUGACCGGAGAGCCGCCUCGGUCAUGUCUGCGUGUCUCUCGAACCCGUAGGGUCUACACACUUAAGGUUCGGUGACGCUAGGGUUGUAUGAAUAUGAGUAUGCAGUAAACCGAAAGUUGUUCGGGGUCCCGGAUGAGAUCCCAGACGUCACGAGGAGUUCCAAAAUGGUCCGGAGGUAAAGAAUUAUAUAUGGGAAGUCGAGUCUCGGCCAUUGGGAAAGUUUUGGGGUCCACCGGUAUUGUACCGGGACCACCGGAAGGGUCCCGGGGGUCCACCGGGUGGGGCCACCUAUCCCGGAGGGCCCCGUGGGCUGAUGUGGGGAGGGGACCAGCCCCUGGUGGGCUGGUGCACCCCUCCUGCCCCCCCUCUGCGCCUAGGGUUGGGAACCCUAGGGGAGGGGGCGCCUCCACUUGCCUUGGGGGGCACUCCACCCCCUUGGCCGCCGCCCCCCUAGAGAUCCCAUCUCUAGGGCCGGCGCCCCCCUGGGGGUCCCUAUAUAAAGAGGGGGGAGGGAGGGCAGCCGCACCUGAAGUCUUGGCGCCUCCCUCUCCCCUUGCUACACCUCCUCCUCCCGUAGUCGCUUGGUGAAGCCCUGCCGGAACCCUGCUGCAUCCACCACCACGCCAUCGUGCUGCUGGAUCUUCAUCAACCUCUCCUUCCCCCUUGCUGGAUCAAAAAGGAGGAGACGUCAUCCGCUUCGUACGUGUGUUGAACGCGGAGGUGCUGUCCGUUUGGCACUUGGUCAUCGGUGAUUUGGAUCACGACGAGUACGACUCCCUCAACCCCGUUCUCUUGAACGCUUCCGCUCGCGAUCUACAAAGGUAUGUAGAUGCACUCCUAUCACUCGUUGCUAGAUGAACUCCUAGAUGGAUCUUGGUGAAAUCGUAGAUUUUUUUUAUUUUCUGCAACGUUCCCCAACAAUGACCAUGUGUAGACCUAGCUAUAAAUUAUGCAGCCCUUAGUUACAAACCUGAGUGUCCUGGCUUGCAGUGCCCUCAACUGCAUGUAGCCAUGAUACAACUGAUUCGGUUACGAGCAUUGGAAUGCCCUCACAGAAGCAAAAAGUAAAAUCUGAGAGUUAAGAAAAAACCCUAAUGAUACUUCCUUAGAAUCACAUGACAAUCAUGGUUAGCCACAUAAACCUGAUAUCAACAAUAGAUGACGGUUCCAUAGAGCAUCUACAUCCCCUGGAGAUAAACCUCUAUAUAUCAUGUAGGAAAAAAAUGCUAGCUCUAAAUCACACUUUUUAGUCUUUCCCGACUCCAUUGAUAUCAUGUGAACCAACCUGUAGUUGGAUGGUUAGGAGACCAAUGGUAUCCACAGUCCACCAGAGUUGUGUUAAAAAACAAAGUCCAUUGAUAUCAUUACAAUAGUAAUAACCAAGUAACUAAAUUGAAGUAGUUAAGAAGAAAUUCAUAGAAUUUAUCCUCUUUGAGAGAAAGAAGGCUAGUUUAAGAUGAAAGGAAGCAAGGUAACUUCGCCUUGAUUAGUACUAGUAAACAUUGUUCAUGGCACGUUUUCCUGAUCUUGAUAUGCACUGCACAUAGCGUGAUCCUUUCCAUGCACUUGUUGAAACAAAAUUGCUGCUUUAGACAUCUUGUCUUUUACUCUUAUUUAUUUUAUCACAUACUUCAGAGCAACUGAAGUGUUGAUGAAUGUAAUGACUAAUAGAGUAGAUUCUUUGGGGCAUCCCCCACGACAUUGCUCCUACGAGCGACGGGGGGAAACCCUAACCGCCAUCCCCUCAACCCCCUCCUCCCCUCCUCUCGUCUCGCCGUCGCCGGAGCUCGCUGGCGGGCAAAGCUCGGUCAGCGGCGGCGGGGCAUCCUCUCCUCUUCGUGUGGGGCCGGGCGGCGCGUGACGCCUUCUUCGCGCAGGGGCGCGUCGCUAUGCGGUGCAUGGCGGUGUAGGCGGCCGAGCCUCGGCAUGGAGGGCUGCUUGGCAGCGGUGGUGGCGGCGGCUAGUGCGUGGCGGCGAUGGACCAGGCUAGAUAGGAUCUGGAGGGUUCUUGGCGGUGGGCGGCGCGUGGGUGGGCAACGACUUAGCAGGGUCUCUCUGGCCAUGGCCAGGACAGCGUGCAGGCCACUGUUGCAGGGGUUCCGAGGCUGCUGGUCAGAUCCGCCCAGAUCUGGCCCCUGGGCACCGACGGGCGGCUCGGAGUGGUGGCCGCAGUCUCCUGGUUGAGGCUUGGAUGUGGCCUGAAACGGCGUGGUGGCAGCCCAUGGCAGUGGGCUAGGUCAUUCCAUGAUGGCGGCUGGACAUCUUCGACGUCGGUCAUCGUGGACCGGCUCUUGUGAUGGCGGCCUUCUUCCUGCGUCGGCUCGUCCGUAGGUGGCCUGUGGAGGCCUUCGAUCCCGCUCCUUGUCGUCCGAUGCUACUUUUGUCGCAGGGCUGGCCCUCUCCCAGCUGCGCUCCGUCGCCCAUCUCACGCCUAGUGCUGCAGGACCGAGCUCGUCUUCCGCCUGGCAGCAGGACCAACCUCAUCUCACACUUGGCAGCAGGACCGACCUCGUCUCGCGUCCGGUGCUGCAGGAUAGGUCGAUGGAGGCUAGUUUUGGCCGGCCUGGUGGUCUCGGUGCCGAGGGCCGCCCAGGGGUGUGAAAGAUGGAACCUUUCUGCUUGUCUCUUUGGCUGGGUUAGUGGCGGGCCUCAGGUGAGGUGGUGUUAAGGUCUUGGAUGCCAGGGCGGCGGCCCUGGUGCUGGUAGCAUGAUGCUCUUGGGCAGAGCCCGUGGCUUGGUGCUGCCCGGUGGCCAUGGCCGUGUGGGCGGCAUGGCAGCUGGGGUGUGGAGUUCAGUGGCGGUGAGUAUUGACCGGGGUGAAAACCUAUUCUAUUUUUUGAUGGACCGGCAGCGGCGAAGCUUGUUCCCUUCUUGAAGGUAUCGCCGCGACUCUCAUAGCCCGUCGUGUUGCUCUAGGGGAAACUCUGAUCCUUGGGUAGGGCGGUGGCAGCAAUUUGGUAUUGUAACCUUCCUAAAGACCUCGCCUUGGAGCCUACGGUUCGUCGUAUGUGGCUUCAUCUCUUCACGUUGGUGUGUUCACGGUUGAGGAUCCCGGUUGCUCAUGUAGUGCUAGGGGUGGUGUUUCCGCGCUCAACGACUAUAUAUGUAUCCUGCCUUGGGUGUGUGCAUGUGUUGUGUUGGCAUGCGUUUGUACUGGGUUGUUGUUGAUCGUUGUUGUAUAUAUAAAGCGGGGCGAAAGCCUUUUUGGUACAUGACUAAUAGAACUAUGUAUAGACCUCCCCCUUUUUGCAUCCAUAAACACUUAUAUUUGAGUAAGGAUAGAGCAAUUAUGAUAUGGUGAGUACAACCUCCAAACUGCUGGUUCAGUUGUCCCACGGUCCAGCCGCAUAGAGAAAACAGAGGUACUUUCAGCAAUGGUGGCAAGAACCGCGGGUGCCCGCGGCGGAGUGGCUACAAGCAACAGAGUGGCGGCGACUAGCGGAGGUGCAAAUGGAGAAGGUGAGGGCGGGUGCUAGGGCGGAGAUGACCAAUAUGGAGAUCUAGUACCCAAGGUAUCGCGUGCGGUUGUUCAAUGCUGCAUAGGCAAGCGGAGGGAGUUUUUGGGCUCGCAUGCAAUCUAAGUCAAACUCAAGCUAUGACCAAGCCAAGUUCAAGGGCAGCCACAUAAGCUUAGACGGGCCUGGUGAGGCAGGUCCAUGAGCGGGCUCGGCUUGGAUUCUUUCCAACCCAACCAACAACCUCAAGCCAGACAACCAACAUUUAGCUUUCUAUUUUCACAUGGUGGAUUAGUGACAAUAGCUACAUUUUCCCCUAUGCCUCUCAAUCUGGUUACCAAAUCCAUGCACCUCAGAUGGGUAACAUAUCUUGAAUCCGUAUGCCAUAGGAGAGGAACAAAGGAGGAUGUAGAUCAUACCAUGGUGAUAGGGUGGUAAUUGUUACAUGCAUUGCAAGAGAUGAUGUAUCCUGUGAGAUAUAUAGAGAGAUGUAAUGGCCAUGUGGGCCGACCUAGAUAGUAUGUAUCAUGAAAGUACACACUUAAAUGUCCUGACUCAUACAGCUCUCAACCACUUGCAAACAAUGCUAUAAUUGUUCUGUUGACGAGCAUUGGGAUGCCCUCACCCCUCACCCCACCCACACAGGCACACGGGAAUGGGACGGGAUGAAACACAUAGUGAGGAUGCUUCCUUCUACAUUCAUAACCAGGAUUUGCAAUCCUGGAUAACUACGAGACUUCAACACAGAAUAUAAAUUGUUUAACCAGCUAGGUACACUUCCCCCUCAUGCUCAAUUUUGCGCCACACCUCAUCCGGCUCCACAUCCUAAAAUGCAUGCACUAGGGAUUACAAGGCCAGUUGUCCUACUACACAAAUAACCAACCCAAUGGUUCUAGUAACCACACAAUAUGCCUGGGAGAACCAACGAGCUUUUGUUGUCUAGGAACUAGGAUCAAGAGGCUAGUCGGUACGUGUCAGUGGUUCGGUGCCUACACAAAUAAGAAUAGGACAUUGCGUCGAGCCGCGAAAGCUAAUUUUCUUAGCAAAUCCAAGUGAUGUACCAGGCAACCAUGGUAGAAAUCUUGCACUGUGAAAAAAAAUUCAUCAACGAUUCCUUUAGGGAAGCCGUCUGAGAUAUUGACGUACACAUGGAAUACGUAUUCUUUGGCGGGCCAAUCUUGAGCACCACUGGCAUAAACGCAGAAAGGAAUGAGGUGGGCAAAAGAGUGCGCCCUGAGGGAAGGAGAGAUUCCAACUCCCACCAGCGGGACAUCCGUGGCGAGAAGGCUGGACAUGCUCCUUCUUGUUCGAGCCUAGGAAUUACUAGAAGAAACUUCUUUGUUGGCAAGUGACUUUGACAGGAUGUUUUACUCUUCUCUAUGUGGUCUGCUCAAGUGCCACCAUGACAGUGGGGGUGAUGUUGAUGCACUGCACCCCAUGCAUAGACAGGGAAAUACUGAAAUGGUUGCUCCUCUCAAGUAGAAAAUAAUACAAGGAAGACGAUGAUCUUUAGAGCUUUACAGUGAGUGAGUAUGGCACUAACUUUGUUUGAUGUUUACGGACCGACUGAUACCCAGUUGUUUUUCUUUCACAUGUGUUAGGAGUUCAGAUGUUUGAUGCGCUUGAUAUGUCACAUAAGAGUUGAUUAAACUGUUUGAAUGUGUAUAACCUUUUGAUGAGGAGGUCCAGCGACCGCCCCGGUGGCUCCCGCGACGCACCCUGCGCGCGUAUCGGGGGAUCCAGAUCUGCCGCUGGCGGGCAGCUCCCUCCCCCGCCCCCUCAUCCCCCUCGCCGCUGCCAGAGGGCGUCCGCCGGGCAAAGCCCGUGCGGCGCUGGCAGCGGUGGGGCCUCUCUCCUCCCUCCCCUACUCGGGAUACCGCUGACGCGGGUCAGCCGACCGUGGGGGAGUUGGAUCAGGCGAGCUCUCCGGUGGCGGGGACGCGCAGAUUCUGAAGUAGCUAUGCUGGGAGUCGGUGGUGCAGCUCUGCAGCGGUGGUGGUAGGGGACAGGUCCGACGAGGUCGAUCUAGUUCCCUCAGGGCUGCGGGUGUCGCUGGUGGCAGUGGCCACGAGAGAGGGGGCUGCUCCCAUAUCUGGGGGUGGCGCUGGCGCUGCGAUGCACUGGUCUUGGCCAUGCUGGGCGGCGCGCGAGGCGGUGGCGACCAUGGAUCUCGAUCUGAAGUUGGAGGCUUUCACCAGCAGCUUGUCCUCCUUGACCGGCCGAGAUGUGGGCGUCCUCCUAGCGUCCUGUUUGAUGGCGGGGCGCUGGGUGUGGGCACUAGGUCGGGGGAAACCCUUGACCGGCGAUGCCGGGCACGAUGUUGGCGACGCCGGUGGCGUCGUUGUCCCUCUGGUGGGCAACAUCGAGUCUUACUUGAUGCCCUCCACCUACUGGUCUCGGGCGAAAGCCUACAAUCUCUAGAUUGGGGCGGCGAUGGCGCGUCAGCGUCAUGUACUUCUUGAAGGCGCCUUCUUGGGGGAUCAGCGGUCUUGGAUUUGGCGUGGUGUUGGUUUGUUUCUUCAGUGGAGUUCAUGCUCGAUAGUUGCAGUGGGCUUCUGGGUCUUGGCCAGAGACAGUGGCGAUGUAUGGGUUUCAUUCAGAGGUGAGGUUGCCAGGGUGGUCGCUCUCUCCUUGACAUCUGGUUCACUGGUCCAAGGGUGCUCGGGGGUGAGCUGCUUUGCCUACUGAUGGGUCGACUUCCUUCGAUCCAGGACGAGAGGGUGGGGGUGCCCUCUUCAGCGGCAUAUUUGGAUGGUGAACCGAGUGGCCCUGGGAGGCGACGAAGCAUGGCUCUCCUCCAGCGACGAUUAGCUCCCUUGUCGCGGGCGUGUCCAUGUCAUGAUCUGUAACCGUCAUGGGCUCCAAAGUGCUUUUGGGUUCUUCGGAGCUCGUUAGCUGUUCCGUAGUGCUUUGUAUCCGUGUUGAUUGUAUUUUCCUUUUCCUGUUGUCCUGUUGGUUGUAAGGUGUGGUCAUUGCUUUAUAUAUAAAGUGGGGCGAAAGCCUUUUUCGGCAGAACCUUUUGAUUUGCAGUUGACUUUUUUCACAUUGCAAACUUCGGAGUGCUCAUUGCAAGACUAUGUUCUGUAACUGUGGUAAUUGUAGCCCACGUGUGAGGCCAUCAUCUUGAACUAUCUAAGUGUUUGAUUGUUUUCUUUCAUUUGUGUUGAGGGAAUGAGUUUAACUCAGAUGACACUGCUUGCUGGGUAACUGUUGUUCAUUUGUCAAAUUGAAUUAGAGAGACUGGCUAUGAUUACAGUUAAGCAAUUCUUAUUCUUAUCAUGAGUUCAUGAAUAAUUAAACUAUGGCUUCAUUAGCGCUAACACAUCGCUGCCAACAUGCCCACUGCUUUAGGAACUAGAUGCUUCUUACACUACCUAUUUGAACAUCUCAAAAAUAAUGGUUGUGUCAGGAGUUAAACAUAGUUUCAUGAAUCCAUAGGUUGUGGAUGUUGUAAGGAAGCAUCAUUGCACCCUCAGGCUGGUUGCAACAACAUUUAGCCAGGAAGCCGGGGCUCUUCUCUUUUCUGUAGGAAGUGACUUCUUGAUGGAAGCAAUAUCUUUCCCAAUACCUCACAAUCCGAUUACCAUUCAUCUCACAUGGGAAACUCAAUUCAUAUACCAUGGGAGAAGAAGAAAGGAGAAUGUAGAUCAUACUGUGGUGGACACCCUGUUUUUUUUAUAAAGUCGUGGCCAUGGUGUCUGUUGUAUGCAUUGCAAGAGAUGGUGUAUCAUGAGGGAUAUAUAUAGAGCUAGGGAAUAAUGGCCAUGUGUACAUCUAGCUAUAAGGUAUGCAGCCCGUAGGGUACAUACCUUAAUGUACUGGCUUGUAGAGAUCUCAACCCCCUUCAUCCAUGAAGCAAUUGAUUCCCUUACGAGCAUUGGGACACGCUCACAGAAUGAAAAAAAAACUGAGAGGUAAGAAAACCGAAGGUACGUCCUUAGAAUGCACGACACGCGUGGUUAGCUAUCUAAAAACUGAUGUCAAUAAAAGAUGACGGGUCCUUGGAGCAUCCACAACCCUUGGAGCCAAACCUCUAUAUAUCACUUAUGUAGGAAAAAAACCAACCUAUCUCUACAACACCCUUUUCAAUCUUCUUUAAUCCCAUUGAUAUCAUCACCAUAGUAAUAAAAUAGUAAUUGAGUUAAGUGGGCUUUUUAGAUAAGAAGAAAUUCAUAUAAAUCCUUGUUGAUAGAAAGAAAUAUAGUUUCACAUGAAAAGAAGUGCUCGUGGAUGUGGAUGUGACCACAAUGAAGUAUCCCCCCUUUGCAAUCAAUCUAUAAAAUCUGUUGGGCAUCUUUUCAUUGAGCUCCCAUUCUCCAUCUAAACAUGGUUUAAGCUCAGCCUAAUGUGCAUUGACUUAAGCUCCAUAAAGAUCAAUGCCCUCGGAACCAUCAAUGAUCGGUGGAGCAACAUCGUUGGUGAGAACCAAAAAAAUGCAACUGCGGUGCCAAAUUUUCCGGUCAUAUUUGGAACAAAUUAAACCACUGUAUUUUUCAUAACUCCAUCACCAACCAUGACUUUGUCGUCGGUUAGAUCAACUCUGUUCUGGAUGCCCCAAAUCUAGAGAUUUUAUCUCUCUCGUCGUUGUACAGUCAGCGCCUAACGGUGAGUGAACCCUCUUUUUUUUCUCUUGAACUCUUACAUAUAUCUUCCUAACCUAUAAUCUGAAGGUAGAGAUGCUGCCAAUUUAGCUUAAAAAAUCUUUAAAAAAUAGAUGAAAAGGAAGUCAUGUAACUUUAUCUGCUUUUUAAAUACCAGUAAACAUUAUUCUUGCCACCUUUUCCUGAUCCUGGCAUGCACUGCACAGAGUACCAUAUUUUCCAUAGACUAGUUGAAUCAAAAUUGCUUCCCUAAUCAUCUCGUCCUUUACUCUUCAUUAUUUUAUGAAAAAAUUCAGAGUGACAAAGGUAUUGAUAAAUGAAAGGACUAGUGCUAAACAUAAACCUUUCUUUUUUGCAUCCAUAAAAAUAUCCAUUUCAUUAAACAUAUAACACUUAUGGUGAGUGCAACUUCGAGACUGUAUCACAAAUCUUCAGAAUGCUUGGACAUAUGAAUGAUAUGAUCCCCCUGGAACCAUGAAAUGAAGCCUUAGAGAAAGUGUUUGGAAUAUGACGAAGACGAGCAAGCCUUUGUCGGCGAGUGAUAAGAGAAAUGUAGGAGCUUGCCAGGACAACUUGGUAAGCAAGCUACCUAUUAUGUAGGCGCCAACUCCCAGCUUUUUCUCUUCUUUCUUUUUGAUUUUUUAUUCUCGUUUUUUGUAAGCUGUGGUUGGCAAACCAUCUAGCUAGGAUAUGAAAGAGUGGUGGUGACCGGCGGAUUGGCAAUGGCUAAGGAGCAAGGAGCGGUGCUGACUGGCGGAGUAGCACUGUAGCAGCGGCCGGUGAAGGAAAAGAUGGAUGGCGUGGGGGCCGAUGAUAGCUCUAGCAUGCGGGGCCUCAAGUGUGGGGGUCAAGAUUGAAAGGAGGGCUCGUGUGCCGGUGCAUGAGAGAGAGAGAGAGAGAGAGAGAGAGAGACAAGCUGAGAACAUGAGGGAGUUGCUAGGCUCACGAGUAGAUCGUCUCAAUGUCGAGCUUUGGCCAAGCUGAUUCCAAGUCCAACUUUGAAAGCUUAGACGAGCCACCAUGAACCAGCUUGGCUCAGCUUGUUUCCAACCCAAGGAGUAGCCUGUAGCCAGAUAGUCAAUGUCGACCUUUGUUUUUCCACAUGAAGGGCUAAUGAUAGUAGCUACAUUUUCCCCAAUGCCUCUCAAUACGAUUACUACUCACCUCAUACGAAAUAUAUCUUGAACCCAGACGCUAUAGGGGAUGAAUAAAGAAGGAUUUUGCUUAUACCAUGGUGCCCAGUGGUGCCAAUUGUUGAUUCUUGAUUGCAUUGCAAGAGAUAAAAUUGUCAUGGUGGAGCAGGGAGGUUUUGUUGUCCAUGAAUAGACGCAAACGGUUGUCGACGCAAGUGAUAGCUAGAAGUUGGUGCAUCUUGUGCUGGGUUUGUGGUUGGAGGCUGACAGUUCUGGCUUCCUCCUCCGAUGUCGUCAUCGUGUGAGGGUGUCAGAUCUGAAGUUCGAUGGUGUGUCCGGGGACAUUUUGCCCCGGUCUGAUUCUUUCAACGACAAUGGUUUAGUUUCUGGCAAACUACUUUCAAGGUCCGUAAAGCUGCCGAUCAGUGAUGGAGCCGCAUCAAGUUUGGGUGAAGAGGUGAUCUUUCUUCUUUCCCUUUGGUGGCUGCUUCGGUGGUGUUGAAGGAGAGGGGCUGCGUGGAUAUUUUGUGUAGGAUUAUCCUAUCUUUUUAGUCCUGUAAAGUCGAUGUUUACGUGCCUUAUAAUUUGAUUUUUAUUCUACAAAUGAGACACGUAUUAUCAUGCAAAAAGGUACAAAACUAAAUGUGAUGACUUGUACAUUUCUUGACCACUGUACCCGCAACCAAUGAUGCAGGUUCGUUUACGAGCAUCACACACACCCACGCUCGCGCACACACACGCAAACGUGAUGCAACACAAUGUGAGGAUGCUUCCUUUGAAUUAUGUGACAAGCAGGAUAAAGGCAUCUCUAGCAGAUCCUUUAUAUCAUGCACCCAUAUAUCGCGUUUACAGUUCGUGGCUGUCUUCGGAUAUGGGCUGAAUACAGUUGCGGCUGAACAACAACCGAAUACGAACCUGCAAAAUUUGUAAUCACAUAUUCGCUCGAGAAAUUGUACUAGUUUAGUAGGACUGCUAACACUUGAUCAUCUUAAAAAGUCAUACAAAGUAGAAAUUUUACACCUAAUAUUUGGAGGAGCAGGCGCCACCAUAACCCUAGUUACAAAAUUGGGCUCAUCAGAGCCGGGGGGAUUGCAGCGGCGACACUGUAGCGGAGGAGGAGCUCAGUCCACAUCGUCGGAGACGAGGUCGACGUAUAGACCUCGUCCUGCUUUUUGGCUACGAGGCGCCACUCUUCCAUGUUAGCCGCAAACUCCUGCGCCCCCGCGAUCCCCUGCUCGAGGAAGAUUCUAUCGAUGUCGAUGUCGACGUCCCGUUGACGGUGCUGCUUUGCCUCCUCCGCGUAGAGCGCGCAUGAUGGCAGCCGCCAUGACAUCCGCCUCCGCCGGGGGGAGGUAAUCCUCUGGCCCGACGACGCUCUGCCGCUCCGGCUCCCUCUUUACCGCGUGGAGCGGCGGGAGCUCCUCUGGCUCUCUUUUCACCGGGGUGAGCGGCGUCCUCGAGCUCGAGGCACCGGCGGAGGAGCCGGAGGACAGCCCGCGGUGGAGGAGUGCCUGCCUACGGUUGUACUCCGUCUCGCGGCGGAGGAGCGAUGGCGGUGGCGAGAGCCCGUUGUUGGUGUACCCGGGCGCUCCUUUUCCUCACGGCGUCGGCGGUGACGCACCGCCUCCGCUCGGGGUCGUCGCCACUGCCGGUGCCGCGGCCCGCCGACCACGUUCCGCAUCACAUCAAGAGGGGAGAGGGGGAAUUGAAGUCGCCGGCGGAGAGAAAUCGAGAGGGAGGAUGGGGAAUUGCGGCGGCGCGGAUAGGGUUUCGACCCGUAUUUCAGCCGCAAACCCUUACAUAUAUUGCGUGCGAAGGGGGGGGGGCAAUUUGCGGGUCACUGUAAAAGAAAUUAUGGGUCGGACGAUUAUAUAGGCUCUGGUCUUGCCCAAAAAAGGGGCCAAACCUGUAUAGUCGUCGAAUUUUUACGGGCCAUCCCAUUUUAAGAGGUCUGCUAGAGAUGCUCUAAGCCAUCUUAAAACAUGUAUUAAAGCAGAAGAUGCUUACUUAGAUCCACUAUUGGCUUUUCAUUAAACCUGAAAUACAAUUUAUAGAAAUUAAAAAAAAGAUGUAAUGUUUAUGCACGAGACCAGAGCACACUUAUUGAGACUGAUAUUGAUUUAUUGUGAAGCCAUCAUUUUCCAUGAAUCCAGUCAUAGGCCUGGGCGUUCGGUAGAAACCGGAACUGUUCGUUUUUUUAAAUUCGGUUAGCAAAAGUCAAAACCGAAAUAGGCAUGGAAAUCAAUUAACCAAAAAUCCAGUUAACCAAUUUAUUUGGUUCGGUUUCCGGUUUUAACCCAAAUUUGGAUUAAGCAUACAAAACACAGUUUCAGUGCCAUAUGCACAGUUUCAGGAAAUUUAUCAUAUGAACACUUGAACAGAAAAUGAACACAAUAGACAAUCCAUCAUUCGCUGCUGAAGUACAUGUCCACGAACAUCAUAUGAACAUGCAUCCAUCCAAGUUACCAAUACAACAGUGCAAUAACUAAACAAGAAUUUGAGGCGGAGGAUGGGACGACUGGAUGGACGGACAAGCGAGCGAGCUACAAUCGGCGAAGCAAUAGGGGGCGCUGCGCUCCUCCUCUGGUCCUUUCCUCUGCGUGCAGCGACUGCGUGAUGGUCGGCGGCAGGUGAGAAGGUGAGGGAGGAGAUGGGGGAGAUCCCAGGCAUUGGCAGUGGGCAUACAAGACGGCCCGUCGGCUUUUAGGGAGUCGAGGUCGGGGAUGUGGGAGAAGAUGUGGUGGUGGCUCACCGAGUGGCGGCCGGCGGCGGCAGCGGUUGAAUCGGGGCGGGGGGUUGAGGAUGGAGAACGAAUGCUAGGCUGUUGUGUCCCUUUGUCUAGUAUACGUGGUACGGUUGUGACCUAGGUCUAGUACGUGGCUACCGUCGGCGUGCCACUUCCAGGAGUUCCUAGUUGGGCCGGCCGGCCGAGAGGGCUGCAUGAUUUCGGCUUCUUUGGUUAACCGGUAGAAAUACCGAAACCGACCGAAUUGAGUUCGGUUAGUAACACAGGUAACCGAAUUUUCUACGCUCGUUAAAAAAAACGACGGUGUUGGUUUCGGUUCAGGUUUUGGUUGGUCGGUUUUUAUGCCCAAGCCUACCGGUCAAGAUCAAUGCUCGGAGCCUUUCAAAGCUUGAUAUAUAAACGAUGUACCCAAAGCGGCAACAAAAGCUCGAGCACCAUCCUUGUUGGAUUUCACCCAGGAGGGAUCACAUGAAAAACCACACGAACAUACAUAUAUGACCGAAACAAGUUAGCCAAAGUCAUGUGCCAUGCGCCUUUCUUUUUCAUUUCUUAAAUUCAUAACUAAAUUUUGGGACCCAUAUGUAGCACAUAUAUCUGAACCUUAACUCCACCUAAUACUAGCCAAUCAGGAACUGGUGGUAAUACACUAAUACUAGUCAGUCACGUCUGAGCCUACAGGAACAUGUAAUUCGUAAUCCAACUUUCUUGCAGUUGUUGGUCUGCGUUGUGCUAUGAAUCAUAGCCUAUGAUUAUAAUCUGCUGUUAAAAAAUAAGCAUCAAAAGUAGAUGCACGCAUGCAGAUUAUAAUCCUCCUCCACAAGAAAAGAUCCCAGCACUAUUGGAAUUUUUACGUACGCCGGGUGUAAUGCUCUUCGCCGAGUGCUAAAACACGGACAGUCGGCAAAGCAAGCUUUACCGAGUGUCACUCUCGGCAAACCCACCUUCACGGCAAACUGCAAUCUUUGCCGUCACUGCCUCACGGCGAAGAGGCACCGUAUGGCAAACCCUGUAGACGCCGAGAGCCGCUCAUGGCAAAGAGUAGCCACGUGGCAUGCCCGUCCGCAACAGACGGCUCCGUCAGUUACUGCGUACUUUGCCGAGUGUCGCUCUCGGCAAAGCACAUACAACAUCCUAUAUUUUUUUUUGUGUGUUCUUUCUAACUGACAUGUGGUCCCACUGGUGACAUUUUAUCAGUAAAAACAAUGACGAUAUCUUUGCCCAGAGGUGCUCUCGGUAAUCCUUCAUGGGAGCUGACAGUUUACAUAGCUUUGCCGAGAGCUAGGCUCGGCAAUGCUCUCCUUUUUUGAGAGCUUCUGUCGAAAAAGUUGUGGCACAACAGUAGUGUCCCAGACGACCAUGUUUCCGAGAGUUGCUCUCGGUAGUCUACCUUUUUCCGAGUGUUGCUCUCGGAAAUCUUUCCCAUCCAUUCUGCUGUCAAGCUAUUUCUUUUCUGAUCCCUGCAGAUAAAAACCACUACAGUGCAAUUUGAUCUAGUCCACACAUAUAUAGGCAUAAUUUGAUCAUAUAUAGGCAUAAUUUGAUCUAGUCCACCUAUAUAUGCAUAAUUAGGGAUAGUCCACAUAUUGUCACACACAAGUCGAAUGUAUUAUCCUAGUAGACGUCACACACAAGUCGCAAAUUCAUACAUAUUGUCACUGCUUGCAAAACACGUGCACGUCACAAUAGAAGUACACUUGUUCAUAUAUAGAUCAUCUUGAUGAGGAGAGGCCAUCGGGUUAACAUUCCGGAGGAGGAGGAGGGGCAUCACUUGCACUGCUUAGAGAUUGCAUAAGAAUCUAUAAGAGUAGACUCACGUGAGGGUGGUUCGUCCCUAUGUAAUGAAUCUUCUACUCUAGUUUAGAUAAUGUUCUACCUGUAGUUGAUCCUCAAGCAUCUUCAACCUAUUGUUAGUGUCUGCCCGUUCCUUUUCUCUGGACUCCUCCUCAGCCUUCCGCCUUUGCUCCUCUUCAACAGCCCGCUGCGCCAUUAAAUCCUGUAACAUGGCAUUAGGCUCAUAUAGGUUGAAACGGUGCUAUUUCAAGGCAUGUACAUAAAUAAAAGGUUAGGAUGCUAACCUUGAGACGCGCUAUCUCACAUGAUGCGGCAGUUGGGCGACUCCGUAUGGACGGAGUGAGCUGGUGCUCGACGCACGUAUCUCGUGCAGCUUGCGGUGCCCAGAGGUGGUGGUCGCCCCGUUGCAAAGGAGGUGGCGACCAUGGCCCUUCCCCUGGCCAGCAAUGAUGAGAAGCUCAGGGUCAAGGGGCUUGGACGUAGGUUCGGCUUCCUUCCCGUGCACCUCCUAGAAGACCUCUUUGAAGGUCCCCCACUUCUCCUCCGCCGACUUGCUGCAGAACUCGGCGCCAUCCUUCCCCUUGUGGCCUUCUUUCCAGGCUUCCAGGAUGUGGACCGGUCGACCAACCUUCGCCUCCUGCAAAAUUAACCAUCAAGUUGAAUGAACCAAGAUGCACCGUGCGAAAAAGUUAACAUCUUAAUCCACAUACCAUGUGUUGCUUGAGAGCGGUUAGGUUCCGGCUCCCCUAGACAUGGGCCGGGCCUGGCAUUUUGGCUCGUUCGUUUCCCUUCUCCACAUGCUGCGCCUGCCAUGCUGGGUCACACCACAUGUCAACCAGGGCCUCCCAACAAUCGUCCUUCAUCCAGGGUUCCUUCACCUAGUCAGAAAAAAUCGAAUAAUUGAGGAACAAGAGGGAUGAAUCAAAGUACUAGCAACCGAUGUAGUCACUUACCACUAACAGGUAUUCUUCUCGCGACAAGUUGGUCUGGCAAGCAGUCUUCCUUGUCAUCUUCUCGCCCUUCUCAUUGAGCGGCCGACACUGCAUCACGGCUUUGUACCACAGCGUGUGCUUGGUGUCAGAGAGUAUCUUUCGGUCAGAUUUCACGAUGCCUUUGAUUGCCUUCUGCUGCUCACCAUCCACGCAAGCAAAUGUUUGCUACAAGAAAGCAUAUGGCAUCUUCUCACCAUCCACGCAAGCAAGGAUUUGGAUAUGAAAAAAUGCAGUGGUCGGAGCUAAGAUACUUACAAAAAAGCAUUGAUGACCCGAGUGGCCAUGGUGACAUCGUGCUCAUCCUUGUUGUGUAGGUAAUGCUCCCAGGUUAAACCUGGCGACGGCGGAUCGUCAUCACCCGGCUUGGACAAUCCAGGGAAGUGCUUCCUCAAGAGGGAGCUGAUGAUGUGGUUCGGCGGGCGUGCCCCCUUAGGUUGUGUCAGGAUAAAUUCCCACCGACUGCAUGAUAUAAAAGACAAGCAUAUGUGAGUGUCAAAGCUAUGACAUCCAAAAUAUGAUGCAAAUGAAAUGCUUGCUUACCCCUCUCCUGUCGGGCAAAUGACAGGAUGGUUGCUGGCAGCAGUUGGUUCCGGGACCUUCCCCGGACCACGCCCGGAUUUCUUCCUCUUGGAAAUGUUGCUCGAUGUAGACCCCGAGCCGUCCGAGGCCUCCAUGUCGCCCGACUCAGUGGCGAGCGGAUCUAAGUCCACUCCGACAUCGCCAUCCGAUGAUGACGAUGCCUCGGUUGUGGCAUGAUGGGAGGCGAACGACUCGGCCCUACCAAUCGGGACUCUCCGGUACUUAUUACGAGUGCUCUCAUCAGAAUCUGAAAAACAAAAUAUAUAUGGUUACUCUCAGUUCCAAAGCAAAAUCUUCCUAAUCUAAGUGUCAUAUCAUAUAUGGCAAAAAAUAACACAAAUAGCUCAAUCAAGUCUCAGAUAUAUAGUUCCAUUUACUAAUGACAUAACACUGACAAGGAUUUUUUUUUGAAACGAAAGGGGUUGCCCCCCUGCCCCAAAUUUUUAUUAAAAAAGCAAAGGCAACCUAAGAUCAGAGUUCACCACUGACAAGGAAAUAAGCACAACUAUAUAGUUUCAUUGAUCUACUCUAGUAUUUAUCUAAAAAAAACACAAGCACUAGUAUUGAUCCUUCGAGCACUCAUUCAGUUUAACUAAAACUAAACCAGUCAAGCAUAGGAGUCAAAACCAAAGCAUUCUACUCUAGGCAUUAUUCCAAACUUCUAAACUUCCAUACUACUCUAGGAUAUCACUUACUUCGAGGCAUGGACCAUCAAACGUACCAAAUACGACAAGGGCAAGGACCCUCUCCACCCGGAGAUGGACUGGAUCAUCUCUAAAGCCCGGUCAGAUGGAGAGAACUACACCAAAAAAUUAAAGGAGACGUACGGGCCUGACGCUGAUCCUCACGUGCUACCGUUUGACCCUCUUGUGGCCAUUGCCACGGCAGGAGGUAGACCGAAUGGCCGGAUGGCGGUUCACCUCGAUUCUGUCAUAACCUCCUCCCUUCCGACAGUCAACACGCUCCGUGCUAUGAGUACUGGCUCUACUCCUACCGUAGAGCGUCACGUACCACAUUCCGUGAGCAUUAUUGAGGAUAUUCAGGUCAGUGCUUCUUCAUUGAUCCUUCAUGGUCCUUCUUCAUUGAUCCUUCUUCAUUAUUGAGGAUAUUUGCAUUUCAACAUGAAUGACAUUUGCAUUGCCAUAUUGUAGACUCGACUGAUUGACACCGAGAAAGAACGAGAUGAAAACCGGGCCAAGUUGAAGGCACAAGAUGAUCUAGUGAAGUCUUUACAACAUAUGGUGGCCAAUCUUUAUUCCAUGCAAGGCCAACCAGUGCCAGAGAUGCCACCGAUGCCAGAGUGGAACAUUGUGAGUUUUGUUCCAACUAUUACUAUCACCAUUUUCGGCAUUACCAUAUGCAUUCAUCUCACUAUUGGGUCAAUCCAUCACAACUCAACCCAUCACAAGGGUCGAACAAUGUUCCGGUAGUUCCACCUCAAGUUGGUGGAGUUGGGGCAGCAAAGGGAAUGAUGCCUUCUAAUGUUGAUGUUAUCACUCCGGUUCAUGGAGUUGGGGCAACAAACGGAAUGAUGCCUUCUAAUGUCGAUGUUAUCACUCCGAUCUCCAAAAUCGCGUGAACUUCAUGUUAUGUUUGAAACUGUUCCUUGUAUGUUGAGAACUCUUGCAUCUUGAGACUUGUAAACUUGUGGUCUAUUGCUUUGAUGCACUAUUGCUUUUAUGUGGAAUGUUUUUCAGAAUCAAUCAUUGCUUCUUUUGUUCAAUGAUGCCUACAUGGGACAUGUUCUAUGUGUGAUGAACUAUAUGCUGCUGCUGUAUAUGUUUCGCUGCAGGAAAGAAACAGAAACAGGGAAAAAAGGCUCCUGGGCACACUAUUGCCGAGGGCGGCUCUCGGCAAUGACUGUGAAAUUGGACCAGAACGCACCCUUUACCGAUAGGCCUCUCGGUAAAGGAUAAUAACCUGUAGUCCUCCUGGCACCUUUACCGAGAGGCCUCUCGGUAAAGGAUAAUAACCUGUAGCCCUCCUGGCAACUUUACCGAGAGGACUCUCGGUAAAGGAAAAAGAAUUGCCGACGGUGGCUCUCGGCAAACUAUUUUCACGGCUUUUAGGAGAAGUGAUGUGGCCCUUCCCUAUUGGCUGAGUUUGCCGGGAGUCACACUCGGCAAAUAUAGAGUUUGCCGAGAACAUCCCUCGGCAAAGUUGUCAUUCUUUGCCGAGAGUGGCACUCGGCAAAGAUGGCCCUCGGCCUGUUUGCCUGGUCCCACCUGUUAGGAGCUGACAUGUGUCAGCCACCUACUGGCUAUCUUUGCCGAGCGUGGCGCUCGGCAAAGAUGGCCCUCGACCUGUUUGCCUGGCCCCACGUGUCAGGAGCUGACAUUGUCGAGAGGGGCACUCGGCAAAGAUGGCCCUCGGCCUGUUCACCUGGUCCCACGUGUCAGGAGCUGGCACGUGUCAGCCACCUACUAGCUGGCUUUGCCGAGAGGCGCACUCGGCAAAGAUGGCCCUUGGCCUGUUCGCCUGGUCCCACAUGUCAGGAGCUGACACGUGUCAGCCACCUACUGGUUGUCUUUGCCAAGAGGUGCACUCGGCAAAGAUGGCCCUCGGCCUGUUCGCCUGGUCCCAUGUGUCAGGAGCUGACACAUGUCAGCCACCUACUGGCUGUCUAUGCCGAGAGUGGCACUCGACAAAGAUGGCCCUCGGCCUGCUCCCCCUGGUCCCACGUGUUAGGAACCGCCGUCACCGUCUGCUAUCCGUUAGCUACUUUAUUUUGCCGAGUGGUACUAUUUGACUCUCGGCAAAGUCUUUGCCGAGUGCCCGCGUUCUGACUCUCGGCAAACUCCUGUUUGCAGAAGAGGUGUACGCCGGGUGGCUUUUGCCGAGGGUGACACUCGGCAAAGGCUUUGCCGACGGUUUUUGGCCCUUUGCCGAGUGUCUGUGGCACUCGGCGUAGCACAGAAUUCCAGUAGUGCGGGAUUCCCUCUUCCUCCCAUCCGUGCCGCCGCCGGUCUGUCCAUCUCCGAUGGUCUUUGGGCCAUGGAGGUGUGGAGGACCUCGGGCCCCCGCCGGCAGGGGGGGGGGGGGCGUUCUUGUUCUUACUAGUUUCGAACAAAUUGCAAAAACCAUCAUAAUUGGGGACCCUAAUUCAUAAAUCUUGUUUACUCAUGGAUUUGUGAAUUAGGGUUCAUGAAGGAGAGGAGACAUUGGGGAAAAUUCUGGGGUCUUCUACCAAUCCCCUUCUCACUUCUCUUCAUUUAUAUUUUUGUUCUUUUACGAUGUAGUCUUCAUGUCCUUACAUAAUUACAACUCACAUCAACACUCCCCCUCAAGAUGGGGUGAAUAUAUCAUACAGACCCAUCUUGCUACAGAAAAUAGAGAAUGAUUUCUCGGGUAGACCUUUUGUAAGUAUAUCCGCUACUUGACUAGAUGAACUUACAUAAGGCAUACACAUUAUUCCUCUAUCGAAUUUCUCUUUGAUGAAGUGAUGAUCAAUUUCCACAUGUUUGGUUCUAUCAUGUUGCACUGGGUUAUUUGCAAUAUCUAUGGUGGCCUUGUUAUCACAUUAUAGCAUCAGUGGUGAUUCCUUGAACAACCCUAGUUCUGUCAGUAAUAUCUUUAACCAUAAUACCUCACAUACACCAUGUGCCAUAGAUCAGAACUCAGCUUCUGCUGUGGAACUAGCCACAAUAGUUUGCUUCUUGUUGCGCCAUGAAACUAAAUUCCCACCAACGAAGGUACAGUACCCAGAUGUUGAUCGUCGAUAUCCAGUGAGCCCGCCCAAUUCGCAUCAGUAUAACACUCAACCUGGAAAAUUCCCUGAUGACUGUACAGUAAACCCUUUCUAGGACACCCCUUCAAAUAGCGUAGGAUUCGAGUCACGACAUCCAUAUGAUAUGAUCUUGGGUCAUGCAUGAAUUGGCUCACUACACUAACAACAAAUGAAAUAUCUAGUCGAGUAUGAGACAGGUAAAUGAGCUUACCGACUAAUCUUCGAUAGCAUUCACGGUCCACGGAUUUUCCUGAAUCACUCAUCAGGCGAUGGUUUUGCUCAAUUGGGCUUGCAGCUGGACGACACCCAAGCAUACCUGCCUCUUGUAGUAGGUCUAGGACAUAUUUUCUUUGGGAAAGGAAAAUACCUUUUGUUCCUCUAGAUACUUCUAUCGCAAGAAAAUAUCUCAAGUGUCCCAAAUCCUUGACUUCAAACUCUUGCGCAAGAUGAUGUUUUAAGUGAAAAAUUUCCUCUUGGUCAUCACCUGUGAUAAAAAUGUCAUGCGCAUAUACAAUGAGGAGGACAACCUUGCUCAUUCUAUGUUUGUAAAACAUGGUGUGAUCUGCAUUGCUCUGAGUGUACCCAAUUCUCAACAUAGCAUGCCGAAACCUGUCAAACCAGGCCCUCGGCGAUUGUUUGAGCCCGUACAAGGAGCGACUUAAGCGAAGUACCUUUCUAGUAACAUAGCCGGACUCGAAACCUGGUGGGACCUCCAUACACACUUCUUCUUGAAGGUUGCCAUGAGGAAAUGCAUUUUUUACAUCCAUCUGGUGAAUGUUCCAGUUCAAGUUUGCUGCACAUGAUAUGAGUGUUCUACCAGAAUUCAUUUUUCCUAUAGGUGCAAAUGUUUCCUCAUAAUCAAUUCCAUAUGUUUGGGUAUAUCCCUUUGCCACAAGGCAAGCUUUAUAUCUAUCCACUUUACACUCUAGGGUAUGCUUAAUGUUGAAAACCCACUUGCAACCUACAGGUUGUUUACCUGGUGGUACAUCCACAAGCUGCCAGGUUUUAUUCUUUUCCAAAGCUCACAUCUCUUCAUGCAUAGCUUCCCUCCACUUUGGAUCCUCUUUGGCUAUGUCCCAACUAUUAGGUAUGAAUGUGGAAUCUAGAGGUGUAAUGAAGCUCUGGAAGGAUGGGCUACAAUGUUUGUAGGAGAUGAAAUUGGCUAUGUUGUGUUUAUAACCAACGUCGUAGUCUUUUAGGUGUGGGGAAGAUUUAAGGUUCUAGUUGGUUUUCUCAAGGCAAUGGGUAAAUUACCUCGUGGAACAGAUGUCGACAAUUGGUUAUCACUCUCACCCAUGGUGCUAGUAGGAGCAAUAGGACUAGGAGAGUGGUCAUCAGUACCUGGGCCAUCAUGUGCAGAGUGAUCAACAUUCUGUGAAGGUGAUAAUGAAUCUCCUAUUGUAUCUUUGCAUGUCUCCAUGACCAGAACUGUUACUCUCCUCAUGGUUAGGAAUAUUAUUAUCAAGAGCAGAAGCAUCUGGAGAGGGACAAGUAUUGAUCCAAUAAGGGUGCCUCCACCACUGCUCUCCCCCUCUUGUCCUACUUCAGGUGGGGAAAGAACAAUGUCAGCGUCAUUGGCUGAUCCAAGAUAAUAAGGUUCAUGUUCACGAAAGGUCACAACCAUACUCAUAAAGAACCGACGUUUAGAGGGACACCAACACCUAUAGCCCUUUUGAGAAGGAGAAUAGCCCAUAAAGACACAUUUGAUGGCACGAGGAUCUAAUUUCCCAACAGAAUUUCAAUAAUCAUGCACAAAAGAAACACAACCAAAUACCUUUGGAGGGACCACAAAAUCAUUUUUGUAUUCAAAAGACACUCAGCUGGAGACUUAAACUCACGUGUGCGUAGAGGUAUACGAUUUAUUAAAUAUGUUGCUGUUUCUAUUGUCUCCCCCUAAAGAAACUUAGGGACAUUCAUGGUGAACAUGAGUGAAUGAGCAACUUUAAGUAAAUGCCUAUUCUUACAUUCUGCAACACCAUUCUGUUCUGGUGUAUUAACGCAUGUAGUUUGAUGUUCAAUGCCAUGUGAUGGAAGGAACUGUCCAAACUCCAUGUUAACAUAUUCAGUACCAUUGUCAUAACGUAAGGUUUUUUAUAGUUGUUCCAAACUGGUUUUGAAUGAGAGUACACAAAUCUUCGAAAAUAGGGAACACAUCACUUUUAUGCUUCAAAAGGUAAAGCCAAGUGUAACGACUAAAUCCAUCAAUGAAAGUCACCCAUGUCCAGAAACAGAAUAAACCUCACAGGGCCCCCAAACAUCAGAAUGUAUUACUUCAAAUGGUUUAUGACAUCGCAAACCCCUGCUAGGAUAGAUGCCCCUUGUAUGUUUUGCUAAUUCACAUGCGUCGCAUACAAGGGAUUCUCUAGGACACACGUUAAAGAGAGAGGGAUAAAUACGUGACAUAGCAACAAAAGAGAGGUGUCCCAAUCUUCGGUGAUGAAGUAACAAUUCUUGAGUAGGACUGUAGGAGACAUGCAAGUUGCAAGAGAAAUUUCAUCUCCCCCUUCAUCAAGAUAGUAGAGUCCCUCAUGCAUGGUCCCAGUCCUGAGAACUCUCCUUGUCCCAAGCUCCAGAAAAGCACAACAUGUAGGAUCAAACCAACAUCUACAAUUGAGAGCUCUAGUGAUGGAGCUAACUGAUAAUUGGCUGAUAGGAAAUUUAGGAACAUGCAGAACUGGUGAUAAGGACAAUGUCUUGGUACACUGGACGGUUCCACGUUCUGUAAUAGGUGCCAUGGAACCAUGAGCAACACGAACUUUGUCCUUACCAGAGGUAGGUGUGUAGGAAGUAAACAAGUUUGAGGCUCUUGUUAUGUGGUUAAUUAGUAGCUCUAGUAUCAAUUAUCCAUGAUUUUGAAUGGGCUUAGCGGGAUUCCAUAUAUACCUUGGGUGAUGGCAUUAAAGCUAGAAUCAACUUUGGAGAAACCUUGGGACGAAGAUGAGCCUUCAAAGAGUUUGAGCUUGGAUUUGAAAUCCUCAAGAGCUUUCAUAUCUACCGCAGGUAGUUCCUUUGCAGAUGCAUUGUAAUUAGCUUGUCUUUUGUUUGAACCCCGAGCUCCCCCCUAGCUGACAUCUCCCUUUAUCCCACCAAGGUGGAUAACCAUGCAACUCAAAACAAUCACCCUUGGUGUGUCCUUUUCUGUUGCAAUGGUCACAAAGCAACUUGCUUUUAUCGACCUUACCAAAGGAAUUUGUAGCACGGCGUGGUUGUAUGGAUAAUGCAGCAUGAGCAUCUGCACGCUCCUGACCCUCCUCCUUCGGUUGUGCCAAACGAGUCUCCUCCUCAAUCAUGCUAGAAAUAAUAUCAUCAAGACUAGGCCACUCAGGCAUUGCAAAUAUGAAUUGACGACAAAGGUUUAUUUCCUGGUCUAGGCCAUCUAGAAAGAGCUUGCUCACAAACGACUCAAAUCACACAUGAUGAAUUGCCAAGUCAUCCUUGUGAACAGGUUCAAAAGGGUGAUGAUAAUGCAAGUCUCUGUAUAAUUUUUUUACUUCACCUGCAUACUCUGUUACAGAUCUUGAGCGCUGCUUCAAAUUAGUUAACUCAUGCAUGAUACGGGUGGCUUGCAUUUUAUUUGUUUUCCCUGCAAAUUGUUUCUUCAAAGAUGACCAGACCUCACAAACAGUGUCCAUGCCUUCCACUUGUUCUCUAAUUGUUGGUUCCAUACUUCCCAACAGCCAUACUAGUACUUUAUCAUUGAUUUGUUUCCUGCCCGCACUGCCUUUCUCCAAACUAUCUUCAUUGCCAACAAGUAAAUAAUCAUACUCAUUGGCACUCAAAAUCAAUUUGGCAUGGCGUGCCCAACUGAUGUAGUCACCAGGUCCUGAUAGUCUGACUGGAUUUUGCUCAAGUGUAUGCUUAACUGGCUCAGCAGCACCCUUUGAUUGCUGCUGGUGCUCAAGCAGUUUGCUAAAUAUUUCAUACAUCUUAUGAACACUAGAAUCCCCUGUUUUUUUUCUGUACUUGGAUCUCCCAUGGUUCAAUGAGCAAGAAUAUAUUCCAACACUAGUACUUGGUUCUUCUUCUCAAACACGUGCAGCACAAAGAGGAACCAACUAGUACAGCUCAACAAUGUGCCAAAGAGUACGGCAAUUACUUCAGAUUGCAACACUAGCAAAUAGUAUUAUUUAAUCCGGCCAGCUGACCUCCAAAGCAGCUCCAGGCAACACCGAUACUGCUUCUAAAGCAAUAAAAAAACACAGAUGCUCAAGGAGUCCGAGAGUCAAGUUGGGGACGAACUACACCUGCUCACGAUGCCGGAUGGCAGGAGAGAAAAAAUUAGCUUGUAGCGGGCGAGGGAGUCCAGACGCCCAGGCUCUAUAACUCAACUUGUAGCUGCAGGAGCCUCCCCGAUUGUACUGUACUUGAUUCAGACAGAAUCAAGGUCGCUUCCCAACUCCUACAGCAAAGCCAGCAGCAGAAGCACCUCCAACAAUAGGAGCGACACAGUACCGCACCGACGGCCAAACUCAAUAGGAAUCAUAGGAGAACCACACAGGAUUCGUCCUGCCCUGAUACCAUCUUUUUGUGAACUAGGGUUCAUGAAGGAGAGGAGACAUUGGGAAAAAUUCUGGGGUCUUCUACCAAUCCCCUUCUCACCUCUCUUCAUUUAUAUUUUUGUUCUUUUACGAUGUAGUCCUCAUGUCCUUACAUAAUUACAACUCACAUCAACAAUAAAACCACCAUUAUUCAAUUUUUUUUCAAAAACCCACCGCCAUUGUGGUGACAUUUUUCAAAAAACACUCCGCGAUGUCCCUCAGUAGGAAUAAAGUCUCCCACGUUCUACGAUGGUGCGUCUAGUGUCAUCGUAGGGCAUGUGGAGGUGUAUCUCCUUCGGAUCUCACGGCAUUCAGUUGGUGCUGGUUUUUCUGUGGACUGUUUGGGGCCAGUGUUCGUUCGUCUUCGCUUGGGUGUUUAUAGGUUUGAUCCUUCCAAUCUAUGAUUUUUUUCAUCGGCCUUAACACGACGAUUUUCAACUGUCUACUGCAACAAGCUUUGCCCAGCUUCAGCGUGGGAGGGGCAAUAAUGGCGGUGCCUUCAGCUCACUCUAGUGUUUUUAGUCGCCGCUAGGUGGUCAAUGGACAUGGUUGUAAUUUAUAUCACCUCUAGUGUUCUUUGUACUGCCAUGAUCGAAAAUGAAUAUAUUGAAAGUUUCUCCUGCAAAAAAAAAGUAGGCAAAAACAUGUCGAAACAGAAAAGCGGAUGGAACCAACAAGACUAUGAUAAUCCACCAUAAUGCCAAACAAAGCCUAGAACGCACGAAAACCUGCCGAACAAACAUACUUGGCAUGGUUCUCUCCUCUUGAGAAAUCGUACACACAAAAGUCUUGCCACGCAGAUGACUAUGAGACUGCCACACGGACUCCAAGCAGUUCACACAACCGGCACACAUCCGCAAGCUUUGCGUCUCACAUCCAAUUUCGUGCAGCAACUCAUCCAGCUCCAUCUCCGGAGAGGCCUGCGCCGGGGAUUACAAGGCCACUUCUUCCUACUAUCCAGAUCACGCUGGUCCGGUCCCUGACCGAGCCGGCGGCCGUCCGGACCGCACUGAGCAGCGCGCUGGUCCCUUUUCCAUGCACCGGGCCGGUGAGGCAAAAGCUCGGUAACCGAACGAUGGCAUGCGUGCGUUAUCGUUCAUGGUGUAUGCGUGCAGCAUGUAGAAGCUGGAGUACGUGUUGCUGCUGCGUCUCGACGGCAUCUCUUGUUCGACUCCGAGAUCACUGGCCAUGAACGAGAUCAACCAUCUCCGCCGAAUACAGAGCUAACAGAAAACGGGAAAUCAGGCCACGGCGGAGACGCGAACGCUGCCAUCCCAACGUUCGUCGACCGCUACCCUACAUCGUCGCCAUGAUCGUUUUAGUAUCGUGCCAUCCCACGAUCACUAAGACCAAGUCGCGGCUUAGCUUGUUUCACUAAUUGAGGAAAAUCCUAACUGACGAAUCUGCACUUUAACAGCUACUGCUGACGAAACUGAAUUUUUCUGAAACUUCGACAACAACUGGUGGUAACUGACAACAUGGUGAUCGGAGGGACGGCACGGGGCGUGCGUCCGUGUGCGCUAAGGUCGCCGUCGCGUCCGUGCGCUUGUUUCUGCCGUCAUCCUCGGUGUCCGCGGUGGUCGCGAGCGGGAGCGCGAGCAGAUUGUGUCAACUUUGAAAGCUUAGACGAGCCUACCAUGCAGACCCAUCAACCGGCUCAGCUCGACUUGUUUCCAACCCGAGGAGCAGCCUGUAGCUAGAUAGUGAGCGAUGACCUUUGUUUUUCCACAGGAAUGAUGAAAGGCGGUAACUACAUUUUUCCCAAUGCCUCUCAAUACAAUUACCGGACAUCUCACAUGGGAAAUAGUUCUUGAAACCAGACGCUACGGGGAAGAACAAAAUAGGGAUAUAGAUUAUACCAUGGUGGCCAGGGUGCCAAUUGUUGAUUGCAUUGCAAGAGAUGUUGUAUCUUGAUACGGGCAAGUAAUUGCCAUGUGAAGCCUAGCUGAAUGAUAUAGCCUGCAGGUUACACAAUUGAAUGUCAUGGCUUGUACAUUUCUCAACCACCGUACCAGGGAUAAAGAGAAACACAAACGUGAUGCACCACAAUGUGAGGACGCUUCGUUUGAAAUGUGCGACAAGCAGGGUGAGCCAUCCCAAAACUUGUACUCCAUCCGUUCGACAAGAUAAGAGUAUUUUUUAUACUAGUGUAGUGUUAAAAGCGCUUUUAUAUGGUGGGACGCAGAGAGUAUUAGAAUCGAGGAUGCUUACUUAGAUCCACUAUUGGCUCUUCCAUUAAACGUGAAAUAAAAUUUAUAGAAAUUGAAGAAAUGAGCACAAGACCAGAGCACACUUAUUGAGACUGAUAUCGACUUAUUACGAAGCCAUCGUUUCGCGUGAAUCCAGUCAAGAUCAAUUUCCAGAGCCUUUCAAAGCUUGAUAUAGAGGAUGUACCGAAAACGGCCGCGCAAAAGCUUGAGCACCAUCCUUGUUGGAUUUCACUCAAGAGGGGUCAUAUGAAAAACAACAUAUAUAUAUGAUCGAAACAAGUUAGGUAGAUUCAUAUGCCACGCGUCUUGACCAUCAGAUUUCUUGGUGUGAGUGGCGCGAGGUCACAUCACAUCAUCAAUCGUGUAGAUAGGGCGACAAUUUUUGCCAUGAAGGUGUCUUUGGGUUGCUAUAUAUACUAGUAAUUUGUACGUGCUUUGCACGUAGCUGAUUACGUAUAAGCAUGGUACUAAAUUAGUGUAAAAAACUAAAGCACACAUAUAUUAUGAUUAAUUUUUUUUAUAGAAGCUUCAAAUGGAGAUAUCCGAUAGGCAUCUGUGGAAUCAUUUUUGGGCUUCGCAAGGCCGGAUAACAACUAUUCCCCAAAAAACAUAGUACAAUGAUUUUCUUAAUAUGAAACAUUGGAUAUAAUCUUUGCCCUUUUAUAUAUAUAUAAAUUGUUUAGGAAGUCCUUCAAUUUAUUGGACUCAUACUAAAAACUUAUUUUUUUAGAAAAAUGAUGUGAAAAAAGAAGUACAAUUAAUAAUAAAUUUUCACCUUCGCAAGCUCAUGUCAGCUAAGAAAAUAAAAGGAGUCAAAACGUACUCUUUCCUCAUAGGUUAUUUGCACAUUCUCAUUCUAAUUAUCCUAGGUACCUUACUACUUGUUUCAAAUGAUAAGAAAAUGGAAAAGUUCACAAUGCAUACAACAUUGCAAUGCUAGGCUCGCAUGCUAGCCUCUCGUGAAGCGGUCGAUGCAUGCAUGUAGGCAGGUAGUACGAAUUAAAUAAUUUAGAGGAGCAAGUGUCCAGCCCAUAGUGGAAAGAUCCAGAACAUAGUCAGAUGAUGGGUCACACAGCGAAUUCUAGAAAUAGCAGACAUAAGUUUGGAGCAGCCACUGUUGAUGCGAAUCCCGCUGCUCCCAACCGUUAGAUUGAGAGCACCAAUGAUCAGGAUUGAUAUUCUAGAUCCAUUCAAAACUCGUACACUAUAUAGUGGUAUAGAUAUAUUUUGCAAGGCCUUGUUGAAUAAUGCAAUAAAGAUGGCUGUGUGCAUCGCUCGAUGCAGAGACCGGGGGUAGUCGUCCUUUUUGAGAAAAACUAUGCAACGCGUCUUUCUUUUUCAUUUCUUCGAAUUUACACUACAUUUUGGGACCCAUAUAUAAAACAUAUAUGUGAACCUAAACUCCGUUUAAUACUAGGCUAAGACGGUCUGAGCCUACACGAACAUUCAUGUAAUUACGUAAUCCGACUUUCUUGCAGUUGUUGGACUGUGUGUUGUGCUAUGAUUAUAAUCUGCGGUUAGAAAAGAAGCAUCAAAGUAGGCAACAACAAGUGAACCAAACACUUAAAUAGAGAAAAACAGAUGUAACAAACAAGAUUACGAGAAUCCACCAUAAUGGGCGAAUACAACUUUCAAACUACUGGUUCCCAAUGUUGUUCACGCGGCUCCGUCAUGUAGAGAAUGCAGAGGACGGUCAACAAUGUUGGCAAGAACAACGAGUGACCGAGGCGGAGUAGCUACGUGCGAGGGAAUGGCUUCCACUGGAGGAUUGACUAUGGUUGACGUAGUGGUGCUGGCUGGCCAAGGAGCAGAUGGACGGGUUGGGAGUGGGCUGUGGAGUGGAGAUGUCUGCCAGGGCUCUAGCGUUUCGUGCAUUGCGUGCUGGGUUCAGGAGCAGGAGAAGAGCACAUACACGGGUACAGUGACGAGCAACGGGAGUUAUUGGGCUCGCGUGCAGCUCUCGCCGAACUCAAGCUUUGACAUGGCCGAGUUCAAGCUUAGUUUUGUGAGGUUUGACGAGCCUGGACGAGGCAAGUCAUGACCCGGCUCGACAUGGCUUGUUUCCACCCCUAGCAACAGCCUUAAGCUAGAGAGACAUCAUUUAGCUUUCUCGUUUUACACGGUGGAUGUGUGCUGGAUGCUAAUUUUUCCCAAUACCUCACAAUCCGAUUACCAUUUAGGCAUUUCCCCCCCGUGGAUAAUAUAUCUUUGAUUCCAUAUACCACAGAAGAACAACAAAGGGGGAUGUAGAUCAUAUUGUGGUGGCCAGCAUGCUAAUUGUUUCAUGCAUUGCAAAUGGAAUAGAUGAUGUACCUUGGGAAAUAUAUAGAGUUGGGCAUGUAAUGGCCAUGUGCUAUAGCUAAAAAUUAUGUAUCCUGCAGGUACACGCCAUGAAUGUCCUGAUUUGUAGAGCUCUCAACUACCUUCAGCCAAUAAUGAUAGAACCAGUUUGUUUAUGAGCAUCGGGAUGCCCUCGUAAAGAAAAAACCUCUUGAGAUGCAAUGCAACACACACCAAGUGCUCAGACUCGUCCAGUCCCACUCCGAGGAGAUGGUCGCUGAUCUAGCACUAGAGGCGAGCGGUGGUCCUGGACCGGUUGAUGGCCCAGGCCUCCACGAGCAUGAGGUCCAGUAGGACCCAGGCUAGCACGGCUUCAGACCUCGUGAAUGACGCCCGAUGUUGUGCACUGCCUUGGAGGCCAUCACGGAUAAUGUCAUCAUUAUUGAGGAUGAGCCAUUGACACCGAGGUAGUAGGUGAGGCAGCCACAUGCCUUGGCGAUCUCCGGGAAGGGCUGAUAACUCAUAAGUGCAGAGGAUCAAUUUUAGCAUUUCCAAUAAGUAAGAUUGUCGAACCCAACAAGGAGGUAAAGGUAAGACUAAUAUUCUCUCAAGUUCUAUCAACCUUGAUCCUGAUGCUACUGGAUACGCUGAAAGAGCAAACAAAGCCAAGAAGCUAGUCAAGAUCAGUGCUCGGAGCAUUGCAAAGCUGGACAGAAACUAGGUGAUGAAAGUUGCAGCAAAAGCUCGGGCAUCAUCCUCUGUUCUCCGACCAAUAGAUGCCCGCCAUGGCCAUGAAGCUGAUAUUAGCUCCAGUGGCAAUGACAGUGUCAGGAGUAGUAUGAGUGUUGAUUACAGUGCUACAAAGGAAUCGGGGAGUGAGAUGACGUUGUCUCCUCUAUAGAACUCGUAUCCAUAGAGUCUUGCAAGCCAGGAUGACUAUGAGACUGGCACACAGACUGCAAGCAGUUUAAGCAGCCCGGUACACAUCCACAAGCUUGCCCCUCAUGCUCAAUUUCGUGCAGCACCUCAUCCAGCUCCACCUCCUGAAAGGCCUGCGCUAGGGAUUACAAGGCCACAUGUUCCUGCCACACAUAUAAGUAACAACCCAAUGUUCCAGUCAGCCACAUCAUAUGUCAGGGAGAACCGAAGAGCCUCUGUGGUCUAGGAUCAAGAGGCUGGUCGGUACAUGUCAGUGCCCAUGCAAACAACAAGAACAGGACCCAGUGUUGAGCUGCCUGCAAGAAACCGAAGUUUCUUGGCGAAUCCAAGUGGUGAACCAGGCAACCAUGGGAGAAAUCUUGCACCUGCCAACACAACUUCAUCAGCGAUUCCUUCGGGGCAGCCAUCCGAGAGGUUGACGUACAUAGGCCAAUCAAUAUUCUUUGGUGGGCCAAUCCUGAGCACCACUGGCAUAAAUGCAGAAAGGAAUGAGGCGGGCACAAGAGUGCGUACUGAGACAAGCAGAGAUCCCAACCUCCACCAGCGUGACAUCCGUGGCGAGAAGGCUCGUACAGGUUCCUUCCCAUUGUUUGAGCCUAGGAAUUUCUAGAAGAACCUGCUUUGCUGGCAAGUGACCUUGACCGGCUGUUUUACUCCUCUCUACUAUGUCGUCUGCUCAAGUGCCACCACCAUGAUGUCAGGGAACUGCUGAAGUAGUUGACAUGGGGCUUCAACGAUACAUAGAUAACGAUGCUUUUUAGAGCUUUAUUAUAGUGAGUGAGGAUGGCGCUAACUUUGUUUGAUGUUUUACAAACUGACUGAUAGUCGCAGUUUUAUUUUGCGUGCAUUAGGAAUUGAGAUGUUUUACAAACUGACUGAUAGUCGCAGUUUUAUUUUGCGUGCAUUAGGAGUUGAGAUGUUUGAUGCGCUUGGCAUGUAGUAGAAGAGCUGAUUUAACUUGUCCUUGAUGUGUAGAACCUUGUGAUUUGCCGCCGACUUUGUUCAUAUUACGGACUUCGGAGUGUUCAUUGCAAGUCUCUGUUCUGUUACUGCUGUAAUAGUAGCCCACGUGUGAAGGCAUUUUCUCCAACUGUCUUGGCGUUUGACUGCUUUAUUUUCAUGUUAAGAGAAUGGAAUUUAACUCGGAUGAUAU
rnacentral:lncRNA from 1 species